rnacentral:lncRNA from 1 species
ACUUGUACUUAUAAGGAUGCUUUGGUGGUGAUGGUGGUGGAGGUGGUGGGGACUUGUACUUGUAAGGGUGCUUGGGUGGUGAUGGUGGUGGAGGUGGUGGAGACUUGUACUUGUAAGGGUGCUUGGGUGGUGAUGGUGGUGGAGGUGGUGGAGACUUAUACUUGUAAACUGGAGAUGGUGGGGGUGGAGACUUGUACUUGUAAGGGUGCUUGGGUGGUGAUGGUGGUGGUGGUGGGGACUUGUACUUGUAAGGAUGCUUGGGUGGUGAUGGUGGUGGAGGUGGAGGAGACUUGUACUUGUAAGGAUGCUUGGGUGGUGAUGGUGGAGGAGGUGGUGGAGACUUAUAGUUGUAAACAGGAGUUGGUGGGGGAGGAGAUUUGUACUUGUAAGGCUUCUUGUGUGGUGGUGGUGGUGGAGAGUAGACCGGAGGAGGCGGUGGUGGAGACUUGUAAUGGUAAGGUGGUGGUGGGUACUUCUUAGGUGGUGGUGGAGGAGAAGAAUAAGUGUAAUCUGCUGAGGUUUCAAAAGGCAAAUUGAGAGACACUGCUAAAACUAAAAGAGUGAGAAAGAGAGAGGUCAUUGAUGACCCCAUUUUCCCCAUCCUUACUUCUAAAAAUGGGUUUAAUUUGGUUAUGCUCUUAGCAGCCCUCUUCACUCCCUUUAUAUAGACUUUGUUUUAAAGUUACAAUCAUGAUAAAAGUGUGAAGGUGGACCGAACCUUCAGCAGCAUUGAAAAAAGACGUUACGUUUAGGUUAUUAGCAUGGUAUGACAUAAUAAUUCUCUAUUCUCUUCCUUGUCGUUUCCCAUAAAUUUAAUUUAAAUAGUCCAUUUGCUAUAUUUAUAUUUCUGUUUCUCUAUUAAAUAUUUAUCAAAUUCAUUUCUCACUCCUUAUAGAAUAUGAAUAAUUAAUCAUUAAACUCGAUUUAGUAAAUACUUUAAAAAAUGAUUUAUCUUAUUUUUAUGCUUUAAUUAAGGCAUCAAAUCAUUAAUCCCAUUUGAUAUUAUGAAAAUUUAUCACUUAAUUGAUCAAAAUGUGAUUCUUGGCAGGAAAACAUAAUUUACUUUCCUUAAAAUGUAAUUUUUAUUGAGAGUUAUUUUUCCACUAACAAUAGAAAGUGAUUCUCUUUAUAAUUCGUGAAAAAAUUACUUUCACAUGUAAAUAAAAAUUGUUAGGAUAAAAUUAACUUUUCUUUUAUUUAUGUUAAGGUUACUAAUUAACUUAUUCAACUUUAAUAAAAGAUAAACAUAGUUGUAGCUUGUUUGUUGAUGUUAGUUUUUUGUCUUUACAACUUCAAACCAUUAUUCUAGUGUAAUUUUUUUUUCUUUCUAAAUAGUAGAUAAGUAUCUAUAUUUUAUUUUGCUAUAAGAAAAUUAUAUUUUUUAGCAUACAAAACUUAAGAUAACUUGUAGAAUCAAGUAGUUGUAUACCUAUUACUCUAGCAAUAAUAAUAUUGACAUUGUCUACUUUCAAAUUAAAAUUUCAAAUUAGUUCAUUGCCCAAUUUUCUCAUUAAAAAAAAUUAUAUAUAACAUGUCAACUUAACGAAACUUACAUGAAAUUUUGUAUGUGUUAAAAAUGAAAAAUAUGGCGGUUAUUAAAAAAGAUGUCAUACAUCUAAAUCAAACUACUAAUUUAAAAAUUAGUAUUGAGAUAAUUUCAAGCCAUAUAUGCAAUAUUUGAGUAUACUUGAACUUAUACAUACAAAUUAGUGAGGAUUAAAAUUUUGUAAAUUGUACAUCUUCACAAUCUUGCGUUAAUAUACAAUUUUUUUAAUGUAUUAAUAUAAUGUUUUAGAUCAAGACGUGAAAAAACAUAAUUCAAAUAUUUGUUAAUAGUAAAAAAUUAUUAAUAAAUAUUUAAUUCAAAAUUUAUUAAUAAUAAAAAUUAUUGAAAAAUAUUAAAUACGUUAAUAUUAUUUUUAUUUAAUAAUGAUACUUUUGUACAGUAAUCUUAUAUUCCCAAAUAAGUGUUAAAUGUGUCAAGAUUUUAAUCAAUACUUUCCGGUGAUUACCAAACGUUGUGAAGUAACUUCUUAAACAAUAAUAUUCUUAUCAAUCACAUUCCAUUAAAAUUUUAACAUAGAAAAGCACCAAAACGCCCCCUUAAAAUCGUGGUAAGUCUUGUUUGUCUAAAAUUUAAAUAUUUAUUUUAUUAUUUAAAAUAUAUUAAUUUUCUAAAAAAAAUCAUUAAUAUUUAUAUUUCUAAUUUUAAACAUUCUUUUGUUAAUUAAAUGAUAGUCUAAACGGUUAAACUCAAAUCGAAAGCAUUUUAUCUUAUAUUAGAUUAUAUGAAUCAUAUUAUGGUUGAAAGUAAAAUGUAUAAAAUCAAUACAAACAUCAAAUAUUAAACUUCCACUCAAUAGAUUUUAAAAUUUCUAAUUUUAUCACUAAUCUAUUUUAAGAUUUUUUUAAAAAAAAUCGUACUUUAGAUUAUCUAAUUUAAAAUUUUAUAAAAUUAUUAAAAAAUAUUCUUGUAAUAAAAAAAAUUUGUUUUAAAAUUUUUAAUUUUUUAUAUAACCAAUGAAUUUUUUACGUUUGUUUUAACUGGUUAUCUAAACAAAAUAAAAACUUAUUUAGUUUAAAUAAAGUGGUAAAUGUGAAAGCACCACAAAUCACAACUACAUUAGUUUUAUAAUUGGAUUAAUUUAAUCACCGGCAGAGGAAAUGUGUUAGUUCUAGCUACCAACAAUUCAUUUUAAUUCCUUUAAAAAUAUUAGAAAAAACCAAUUUGAUUUUUAAUAAUAGAUCUAAUUACUUAAAGGAACAUGGGUGAUGUGCACAUGGCAUACAAGCAUAAAAAAGAACAAAAAGAUUAAGUAUCUUUGCAAAAUAUCUCUCUCUGAAAUAAAUAAAACUUAAAAAAAAACAAUUUUAUUAUCAAAAUAAAAAGAAAAUAGUGUUUUUCUUCACAAAAAAAGAAAAGAAAAGAAAUACUAGUGUUUUUAAUUAAAAUAGAGUGAUCUGGGUAGAAUCUUUUACUUAAAUACUGACAUUGACUUUAUAAGCUAUUUUUUAUCAAAAGAAGAAAGAGAAAAGCAUCCGAUUGAAGAUGUGAAUUAUUAAGUUAAAAUUAAUCAUACAUGUAAAAUAUUAUUGUGCUUUUUUCUAGCCCUCCGAAAGACAUUAUGCUUUGAUUACAACAUUCUUCCUCAGAGAUGAGGUUUGAAGAUGAACUCGGAUGCAUUUAGAUUUUUACAAGACGAAAGUAAAUUAAAGGAUGUUAGUACUUGUAUUCCGAUACGCUUAUAAUACAGAAAGCAAGUAAUAUGUGACUGUACAUAAUGGCUAUGAGGCGAGGAUAUGAUACGAGAAGAUAGAGAUGAGAGAUUGCACUUAAGGGGUUAGCACCUCUUUUCUUUUUGUGUUUGGUCCCCAAAGCAUAUCUCUUAUUGGCUGAUGUUGCAAGGCGGUCCCAUAAGUUGGGCUAAAAGUGCUUGAUAGCUAGAAUUAAUAUUGUGGUAUAACAUAUGUCACCCCUAUAUUUGAAUAAGGUUACAAAGUGACUACUUGAAGAUUUAAAAAAGCAUGGAGAUAAUUUUGUUGCGAAAAUUAAAAGUAAGAGCUAAAUUGUUUGGCUUUAUUAGAGUAUAGACUCUGUUAGUCUAUUAUCAUUUUGUUAUAUAGGCUGGAAUAUUAUUAGUAAGCAGUUAGCAGCAGUUAGUCAUACAAGUAUAAAUUCUAUUCAUGUAUUGUUCAAAGAUAAGCUAAUAAUACCAGAAGAGAUUUAACAUGUUCAUUCUACUUUUUUUUGUUAUUCUUCAUAAUACAGUUGUUAACAUGGUCUCAGUCGCCAAAUUUCUUGGAGGUUGCUUCUAUUGUAGAUCCAUGGCCAAUUCCACUGAUUCUACCUUCGCUGGUCGUAGCAGUCCCUCAUUCUCAGUUCAUGUUUGGUUCAAUCGUUUCCUCGUCAUGGCACUGUGAAGUUAGAUGAAGGAAAUUUUGUACAAUGGCAACAGCAUAUCCAAUUGAUAAUUGAAGGAUAUGAACUCAUAAGAUUUUUAGAAGGGACGUUACCUGCUCCGCCUCGCUUUGUGUCAUCUCCGGAUGGAAACUUAGCUCUGACUCCCGAUGCAUCCCUGUUUGUUCAGCAAGAUAAGUUACUCGCUUAUUGGUUACUUUUUACGAUUAGUGCUCCUUUGUUUUCUUGUUUUACAACUGCUAAGACGGCGUGUGAGGUUUGGAGCACUGCGAAUUGCCUAUUUGCUGCUGCCACUAGAGCCAAGCUUUCGCGUAUUAAGCAUGAACUCCAGUCCAUCACGAAAGGCGUGAUGACUAUCAAAGAGUAUAUUGCUAAGAUUCAAAAUACUUGUGCGUUACUCGAGGAAUCUAGAUCAGUGGUUUUAAAGGCUGAAAAGGUAGAGAUCAUUCUUGCCGGCCUAUUGUCUGAUUAUGAUGUCGUUUUAACUCUGGCAUCGUUCUCAACUGAAACUUUUUCGUUAUAAAAGAUUGUUGAUAUGCUUCUGGAGUUCGAAAGCCAUCAGACUCAAGCGGUGAACGACGUACCUUUUCAUGCUCAUUUGGUAGAGGCCACUUCGGCGACAUCCGUGGAGGACUCCGUACGUGGUGGUCGUCCUCCUUCUGGUGCUCGUAGGCGCGACUUUCGAUCUCAGCUUCAGUGCCAGGACUAUGGUUGCUAUGGACAUUUGGUACAAUGCUGUUAUUAUCAGUUCAACCGCGACUACAGUGAUCUGUCUGUUUUGACCAUGGCGCGGGUUUCGCCUGUUCAUGCUGAUCACAAUUAGCAUAACGAUGUUUUUGGCGCAAGUGGUCUCUCGACUAGCUGGUUUUCAUCAACUUGUCCUGGUCCGGACCCGUUCGUGCCUGGACAGUAUGUCGAUUCUUUGGUGGUGACACCGGCGUAUUUCUCUUAUGGCUCAUCAUGGUGAGGGUGGCCACAUUUGCAAAACAAUGCCUCCCUUGUGCCAAGUUUGUUGAAUGUUAAGGUUUCUAACCCUUUUGCUCAUAAUUUUGACGAUGGGGCAGGCUAGGUGUUUGGGCUCGCUGUUGGACCAAGCUCAAAUUGUGGCCAAUUUGGUGGUCCUCACUUACCGCGGAGAAUGGGCCAGCACGUUAGGCCAUUUGCUAGUGUUCCUAGGCCGACUGGUUCAGGCCAAGAUUUUGGGCCAUAUGGAAUUCGUAGGCUAACCAGUGCUGGUCCUAACAUUGGACAGGGUUCACUUGGGCCAAAUGUUAAUUUUGUUAGACUUGAGGGCUCUUUUGGGCAUGGACAAGGACUUUGGCCCACCACUGGCAAUGUUUCAGUGCCAAAUAAUGGGUCAUGCGUUCCAUGGCGCACUAAACUGACGGCGCACAUUAUUGAUUGAUUUCUCACUGUGUGUUGGGUUGCCUCACAUUCUUGAUUUUCAUGUGUCUGAUAUUUUUACUACCUCUGGGUCCAAUGCUAACACGACUCCGUAUGGGUCUAAUUUUGAUAAUGAUAACUCUUACAUUCCUAUGCCUGUAGGGACCUUGUCCUGGUGUCUUAAUUCAGGGUCUAUACAUCAUGUCUAUCGAGAAGCCUCUACCUUGAACGAGUCUACGCCAUACUCAGGUACAUCUCCUCUCCUCAUGGAUGAUAUUACUCCUACAAAAAUAUCAUGUGUUGGAAACUCUAUCUUGCCUACGAAGACUAAGCUGUUUCAUCUAUCUAAUGUUUUGUGUGUGCCAAAUAUACGGAAGAAUCUGCUAUCUGUCUCUCAAUUUGCUAAUGACAAUAAUAUGGUCUUUGAAUUUCACCCGUCUUAUUGAGGACAUCCAGACUCAGGAAAUUUUGCUUCGGGGCCACACUCGUGAUGGGCUCUAUUAUUUUUCGUAGGUUACUCAUGUUCCGUCUGUCGUUGUUCCUUCUGUUCACAACACUGGGCUCCAGAGUCGCAAUGCCGGUGAUGAUGUUUUUACGUUAUGGCACUACAGACUUGGUCAUCCGUCUGCCUCGAUUGUUAAACUUGUUCUCGAUAAGUGUCAAGUUGUUUCAACUAAAAUGUACCUUGAAAAUAUUUGUAUUGCUUGUCAAAAGGGGAAGUCCCAUAAACUGUCUUUUUCAAGUUCUACUACUAAAUAUACGGAUUUGUUUGAAUUGGUUGUCUUUGACUUAUGUGGACUGGCAUCUGUUGUCUGUAGAAAUAAUCUGUAUCAUGUUUCGUUUAUCGACAUGUGUAGUUAUUUUACUUGGAUUUAUCUCAUUAAACGUAAUUCUAAGGAGGUUGAAUGUUUUCUUCAGUUUCAGAAAAUGGUCAAAACUCAGUUUGGGAAAGAUAUUAAAAAAAUUCAAAGUGAUUGGGGUGGUGAGUUUCUUGCCUUUACGUCAGUUCUGGCUAGUCAUGGGAUACUUCAUCACCUCUCCUGUCCAUAUACAUCCGAGUAGAACGAUGUAGCUGAACGAAAACAUCGACACAUUGUUGAGAUGAGUCUUAUUCUAUUGGCCAAAGCUAACCUAUCCAUGGAUUUCUGUGGUUUCGUAUUUUACAAUGCCAUUCAUCUCAUUAGUCUUCUACCGACCCUAGUUCUGAAAGGUCAGUCUCCAUAUCAGGUUCUUCAUGGUAGUGACCCUACAUAUGAUCAUUUACAAGUAUUUAAGUGUUGUUGAUUUUCGUACCUGCGUCUGUUUCUGCAACACAAGUUGGAUUUUCAUUCUCAGCCAUGCAUAUUUUUUAGGUAUAGUUCUCAACAUAAAGGCUAUCACUGCCUCACACCAAAUGGUAAGGUCAUUGUCUCUCGUCAUGUUGUGUUUGAUGAACGUUGGUUUUUCUUUUCUUCAAAUGCUGUGAACACCGUUCAGUUAAGUCCAUGUAUCUCUACAUAUGUUCCUAUUGUUCGGUCUUCAUCUUGCCGCCCCACGACAUCUUCGCUUGUUCGACCCACUGAGUCAUCGACUCUUGCUCCUAAUUGUAGUUCCACGCUGUCUGUUUCAGUUGACACUCCGGCUGAAUUAGGUUUUACUCAUGAGGUGCAUCGGCUCUCUACCUCAUCCCUUGAAUCUCGUCAAUGCGAUCCAACUACAAUUCCAUUGGCUGUUCCAUCUAUUUCUCUGGAAUACUCAUAACACUAUUACUCAGCUAGACCCAAAGCUCUGUCUGUUGAAAUUGUCAACUGUGAGUCGAUCACGAUUGAAGAGGCGCUCGCUAGUAAGGAAUGGCAAUUAGUUGUCCAAGCUGAGUUUGUUGCUAUAAUGGUUAACUCCACUUGGGAGCUUGUUCCCUUACCUCAUGGUCGAAAAGUGAUUAGGUGUAAGUGGCUUUUUAAAAUAAAAAAAUCCUGAUGGGACUAUCACUUGACGUAAGGCUCGGUUGGAAGCAAAGGGUUGUUCUCAGGUACUCAGGUGUGAUUUCAAGGAAACCUUUAGUUUGGUAGUUAAACCUGCUACUAUUAGAACCAUAUUAUCUGUUGCUAUCUCCAACGGUUGGCAAUUUGGUCAGGUAGAUGUGAACAAUGCUUUUUUAAAUGGUGAUCUUAUUGACGAAGUGUUCAUGCAGCAACCUCUAGGCUAUGUUCAGAUUGGUCAAAAUGGUGAGCCCUUGGUGUAUCAUUUGACAAAGGUGUUGUACAGAUUAAGACAAGCUCCACGUGCUUGGUUUGAUAAAUUGAAACGUUUUUUUGUUUCUAUUGGAUUUGCUUUAUCCAAAUCUGAUGUAUCCUUAUUUGUUCAAGUUAAUUCGAAUCCACUAUUUAUGUUUUAGUCUAUAUGGAUGAUAUUAUCGUUACUAGAAGUACGAUCGACGGUAUAAAUGGCUGUAUUCAAUAGUUACAUAAUGUGUUUCCCUUAAAGAUAUGGGAGAUCUUUACUACUUCUUAGGCAUUGAAGUCACUCGGUAGUCCACUGGGAGUCUCCAUUUGUGCCAACGCAAAUACAUUCGGGAUCUUCUUGACAGUAGUUUUUUAGCUAAUGCAAAGAGUGUUCACACACCGAUGGUUAGUUCUUUUACGUUGUUUAAAGAUGUGGGAGAUCGCCUCGUUGAUCCUACUGGAUAUAGAAGUCUUGUCGGUGUAUUACAAUAUGUGGUCUUGACUCUGCCUGAUAUUGCUUAUGCUAUAAAUCAUGUUUGUCAAUUCAUGCAUGCCCCUACUACAGUACAUUUGGUGGCUUUGAAAAGAAUCUUGCACUAUUUAUGUGACACUAUUAAUCAUGGGUUAAUUUUGUCUGUUCAACAUAUUGUCUUUAGUUGGCUAUGCUAAUGCCAACUGGGGACUGGAUUUUGAUGAUCGUAAAUCAACAACAAGCUAUUGUUUGUAUUUUGGGUAUACACCCAUCUCUUGGUGAUCUAAGAGACAACUCUACUGCGUGAGGCGAAGUAUUUUGGCCGCACCAUGGCUGAGGUGAAGUAUCGAAGUCUAGCAACAACUACCAGUGAUGUUACUUGGUUAGUCUCUCUACUAACAAAAUUACAGAUUCAUUCUAUAGAUCCACAUACUAUUUGGCGUGACAACUCUAAUGCAGUAGCGGUCAUUGCUAAUCCGGUCUGACACUCUAAAUUUAAACAUGCCAAGCUUGAUCUAUUUUUUGUUCGCGAAAAGGUCGCUAAUGGUUCUCUCGUUGUCGGUGAGAUUCUAGCAUGUGAUUAAGUUGCUGACAUUCUCACAAAACCACUGUUCGUCUCUACUUUUGCUAGGUUUCGUAGUCUGCUUCAAUUCUUACCUCUUGAGAAGCUGGGUGAAGCCAGGUGAAUAUUAGAGUAUAGACUCUGUUAGUCUGUUACCAUUUUGUUAUUCAGGCUGGAAUAUUGUUAGUAAGCAGUUAGUCAUAGCAGUUAGUCAUACAAUUAUAAAUUCUAUUCAUGUAUUGUUCAAAGGUAAGCUAAUAAUACCAAAAGAGAUUUAAUGUGCUCAUUCUACUUUCUUUGUUAUUCUUCAUAAUACAGUUGUUAACAUGCUUGAUAUCAUCUCUUAGAGAGAACGAGGAGAGAUAAGAGUAAGAGUAUGAGCCAACUAGGGAUAAGGCUCUACCAUAAUACCUUGGAUGCAAUUAAAGUAAGAGUAAGAGCCAACUUGUUUGGCUUGAUAGCAUCCCCUUAUAGAAAAGGCUCUACCGCAUGGCAUGAGAGCAAUAAAAGUAACACUCAAUUUCUUGGGUUGAUAGCAUCUCCUUAGGGAAAAGGGUUUACCAUGUGACAUGAAAGCAAUUAAAGUAAGAGUAAGAUCCAACUUGUUUGUCUUAAUAGCAUCAUUUAAGAGAAAUAUCCCAAUCAAUUUAUUCAAAUAUGUUAAUCAAAUAAUGCAAGUUACAAUGUUCUGUCAGUUUUUCCUUUAAUUGUAACUGGGUUAAAGUUGGUAGUUGUAACUGCUACUAAUAGAAUGGAUACGGUAGAAAUGGUUGCAAGCAACAUAAGCAAAGAUGACUUUAAUGUCUUUGUAUUGACCACGUGAGAACUAUAGAAUGCAGAGAAUAGUAUGGUGAUUGGCAACAGAAUGCUACUAACCUUGAGGAUAGUAGACAGGGAUGGAUCCACGGGGGUUGGGGGCGGUCCCCCCUUGGAAUUUUUAAAAUUUUAAAUUUUAUAUAUAAAUUAUCAUGUAUUUUAAAUUUGGUGUCCACAUUGUAUAGCAUUCACCCCCCUUUUCCAAAUUGCAUUUCAUAUCAUUUGCCCUCUUAAGCCAUAAGGUUAUACUUUAUAUUAACAAAGUAUUUUCCAUUUUUUAAUUAUAUAAAUUUAAUAAUAAUAAUAAUAAUCAAAUAUUAAUAUAUGAUUGGCAUUGAAAGACUAAACAUAAAGGUCCAGUUGAGACUUUAAAGCCAAAUUCCAUAAUUAAUUAAUUGAUUUGGCCCAUACCAGUACAUAUUAGGUUAGCGAAAUUCUUGUAUUUUGAUUUGUAUGUCUUGCUAAGGAAUUAUCUUCCUUUGGUAAGGUGUUGACACUGCCAAGAGAAAAAGAAAGGAUUUUGAUGUCGAGAUUGUGAGCAUAGAGUAAAAAAAAUACAAAUUAUCUUCCUCUUAGCUCCUUAUGGAAAAAACCUCUCGGUAAAUAUUUUUGCAUAAAUUAUGUUUUUUAUUAAUUUGACUUAGUUUUUUUCUUUUUUCCUAAUACAUUGUUGUUUAAUAUAUUCUUACAAUCAUCAGGUUUUUUGACUAAAUUAUGGUCAAUAAAAACAUCGAAUCUAUUUAAAAAAAAAGAGUGUCAGAAAGCAAUAAUGAUCAACCGGUUCCUCAACCUUCCAUUAUUAGUGAAGAAAAAUCAAAUAUCGGAUCUUCCAAAGCUCUUGAACAAAAUAUCAGGUCUUCUUAAGCCCAAGCUCCUAAAUGCGGUAUGGAGUCUUCCCCAACUCCUGAACGAGAUUGUAACAAUCCAUACCCAAUUCGAUCACCAAAUCCAAGUAGAGAGCGCCGCAACUUAAACCAUAUGAAUUGAAUAAUAAAUAUUUGAAAUUUAUUAAAGUAUCGAGUUCUUGGUGUAACCCUCAGUAUAACAAUACGAAACAAUUAAAUCAAUGAUACGCCAGGAAAAAAUGUUUUUAGGCAAAACACAUGGCGGAAGCCUUACAAAAUUUUAUAAGUUUAUAUAAAAUGUAAGAUGAGUUAAUCCCAUACAACAGUUUCAAGUGCAUCGUUGGCGGUUAAAAGAACAUUCAAAAACUAUUCGGCGUAUAUGCCAAUGAGACAAUCACGUGGAACAAGAUAUAGUAGCUUAAACACAUACAUCACUUACCACGUCAUCAUAACAUAUACUAACCAUAUAAACAAACUUAUCGAGCUGCGAACUAACAAGUUCACCCAAACAUCUAGGGUUAGCGAUAACUUAUUAGAAGAGCCCGCCAAACCCUAGAGUUCGCCAAAACCUGGAGUUCACCAAAUGGCGACUCCCAUAGAAUACGCCAAACACACAACCAAAAAUAAAUACUCUACUAAUUUACUCAUUUUAUAUUCUUAGCAUAAACAACUAUGCACCAAACAGUAACUUGAUACAUUAUCUUUCGGGCGAGUUGUUACAAUUCUCCCCCAUUUAGAAACUUUUGUCCUUGAAAUUCUUACCGGUGAAUAACUGAGGAUAUUGUUCUUUCAUCGAACUCUCUCUUUCCCAAAUGGCUUCUUUUGUAUUGUGAUUUAUCUAUAAUACAUUAACCAAAGGAAUUCUUUUACUUCUCAACUCUUUUACUUCCCUUGCUAAAAUACAAACAGGUUCUUCUUCAUAGGACAAGUUUUGCUCCACUUCCAGUGCUUUGACUUGUACCACAUAAUCUGGAUUGGAUUGAUAUUUUCUUAACAUAGAUAUAUUAAACACAUUAUGUAUAUUUGAUAACUCUGGUGGCAACACCAGUUUGUAUGCCACUGGACCAACUUAUUCCAAAAUCUCAUAUGGUUCUAUGAAAUGCAGACUUAAUUUCCCUUUUUGUUCAAACCUUAUGAUCUUCUUCCAAAGAGAAAACUUCAUAAAUGCAUUGUCACCCACUUCGAAAGAGAUUAUUUUCCUUUUUAGAUCAGCAUAAGCUUUCUGGCGAUCUUAAGUUACUUUCAGAUGAUUUCUAAUGAUAAAGACUUUCUCUUCUGUUUCUCAUACUAAAUCAAGACCAACUAUUUUCCUUUUACUGAGUCUCAUCCAAUAGGUAGGAGAUCUGCACCUUCGUCUAUACAAAGCUCCAAAUGGUAACAUUCCCAGACUGUCAUAAUAACUAUUAUUAUACGCAAACUCUAGCAAAGGAAGAUAUCUUUCUCAAUUCAUUCUAAAAUCUAUAAUACAACCUCUAAACAUGUCUUCUAGAACUUGAAAUACUCUUUCAAAUUGCUCAUCGAAUUAGGGAUGAAAGGUAGUACAGAAUCAUUAUUUCGUUCCCAACGAUUCUUGCAGUUGUCUCCAAAAUCUCAAUGUAAACAUUGGGUCUCGAUCUGAAACUAUGGAUGUUGGAAUCCCAUGAGGCGUACAACUUCAGAAACGUAGAGAUUAGCCAACUUUUCCAAUAAGUAAUUUGUGCGGACAAACAAGAUAUGGGCUAACUUAGUAAGUCGAUCUACAAUUACCUAGACUGAGUACUUCUUCGAAAGGAUGAGAGGGAGAGCCAAAACAAAAUCCAUGGUGAUCUUAUCCCACUUCCACAUAGAUAUCUCUAAAAGGUACAACUUGCCUAAGGGAACCUGAUGUUCUAUUUUAAUCUGCUGACAUGUCAAACAAAUGGAAAUGUACUUUGUUAUUUCUUUCUUCAUUUCAAGUCAGUAAUACAAACUUAUCAAAUUAUGAUACAUUUUAUGUAAAACUCUCAACCCAACUCGAAAUGUCGAGUCUGGAUCUCGGGUAUUACUAUACAUAAUACUUGGCAAAAUAUCAAAAUAGUUGACAAAUACUCUUUAUAGAAAACAUUUUCUUAUUAUUUUAACCAAAAGACUAAAUAUUUAAUAACAAGAGAAAAUAUUAAAAACAAAAAAAAAUUAUUACAUCAGACUUGGUACAACUCAUUAUAGUAUAAAAUUUUGUUAAAGACAUACUCUUGGGGCAUAACCCUAAUCUAAGCCACUUUUCCACUAUAUGCAUAAUAACCCACUUCGCCACUAUCUUGGCGUACUCCUAGCAUCGUCACUCCUAAUGCAUUCUCUACCCAUACACCUGAAAACAACAACAUUUUAAGCUUAAGAUAACUUAGUGACUUUUAUCCCAAAAAUACCUUGGCGAGUACUUUAUAUUAUUUGAAGAACAUUUGUGCGCCAUCUAUCCUUCUGAACCACCUUCUUCUGAAUUAAGUGGAUACUAUUAUAGAUUCAACUUUCACUUACACGCCAACUAUCAUACUCUUAACAAACUCACUUAUUCUAGAAUAGUUGUUCACAUAUAUUAAUCACUAAUUGAUACAUUCAUAUUUGGCGAAUACUUACGCAGAUCUGAAUACCAUCAAACUACUAAUCAAAUCAUACCUUGAUCCGAUACCAUACAAACUCAUACUGAUAAUGUACUACACAAAUUAUUCAAAUGAAUUUUCCACUACUUUGUUACAGGACCCCAGAUAAUCAUCAUAACAAUAACUCAAUUUUCAUAUGAUUUCAGAAGAAGAUAUAAUACAACCCAAAUACGGCAAAUUCCAGAUAACUCAGAUUCAACAACUGCUUAACACAUACGAACUCACAUUUAUAAUUUCUUAUGUCCCACAUAACUACGACUAUGUCUAUAUUCAACACUAACAAAUAAUCAUGACGGAUACCCUUCUUAUACAUAUAUGCAUUUCUUUUCUAGAAAUCUCUUAAGACUUACUCAAUUAUAUCACAUAUCUUAUUCAACCCUUAACUUUAGACAUAUCAUAACCCUAUCAUAUCAAUAUCUAUCACAAAAAAAAUCAGGAUUUAUCCAAAACUUACCAUAAAGGUAGAUAAUCAUAUUAUAUCAGACAAACUUAACUAAAUGUGCCACAAAGGCCAAACAAAAUAUGCCUUAAAGGCUUCAUACAAAAUCACGUGUUUACUAUCCCGACGGACUAUCACAAAAGGUGUCAUGGGUUUCUCCCACAUGGACUUAUACAUAAUUUCAUGUAUUGUGAUCUGCCAUUUUGAAUCAUACGUUAUCGAAGGAUACUCCAUAAGCAUACAUACAGACAUAUCUUGCCAUGUGUCUCAGCCACAUGGCUUAAACACACAUUCAUGUACUGUGAUAUGUCAAUCCAGUCUUACUCUUAUUAGAGCCUACACCAUGAGUGUUUUCAAAUCAUAUUAAGAUGUUGUAGGUCUCAACCUCAUAGUCUUACACUUGUUUUCAUAUCGUGACCUGCCAGUCUAGUUAGCAAUAUAAUUGCCUACCAGAGGCUUCAUAGAGGAACAUUUGCUUAGAUUCACUUACCUAGAUGAUCUGUAACACCCCUUACCCGAGACCGUUGUCAGAGUCGAGCACGAGGUAUUACUUAUCUUAUCUUACUAACUCGAAGCAUAAAAACUUGUUUUAAAAAUUAAUUUCACUAUUUAUAGCAAUUUGUCCAAUCGCGCAGCAGUUACUAAAUUAAUUAUAACUCGAGAUACGGAACUUGAAAUUUAACUCCGUAAAUUUUCCCUGAAACUAGACUCAUAUAUCUUCCUACCAUAAAAAUUUUAGGAUUUUUAGUUUAUCAAAUUAGUACAGUUUAUUAGUUAAAUUCUCCCCUGUUUCACAAAUCGACUGCCCUGACCUCUUAUCACUAAAAAUAAAAUGUAUCAUUGUGGGAUUUUCGUAUAGUGCUACCGCUUGCUUCUACAGAAAAUAGACUCAAUAAGGAAUCUAUACAUAUAAACUACAACUCAUAAAUAUUUUUUUAAAAUUUUUAAUGAUUUUAUAAACUCAAAACAGGGGUCACCAAAAACUGUUCUAACCCUGUCUCACCAAAAUUCACAUAUCUUAAAAUAUAAAUUCCUUUUGCUACACCGUUAUUUUUAUGUGAAAAUAGACUCAACAAGAUUUAUGUCAUUCAAUAUUUAAUUCAUUUUAUACUAUCCUAGGUGAUUUUUCAAAGUCACGUCACUGUUGCUGCCUGAAUUCUGUUUCUUUGCAAAAUUUUACCCUUUUAUGAUUUCCAUGCAUAGUUUAUCACUUAGACUCUUAUAACAACAAACACUUCCAUACUUAACCAUUUUAGCAACCAUUCAUCAUCAAAUACUUACACAUCAUUCUUUAGCAAGAUCAUAAAUACAAACAUUUAAAAUAACUAAAUCCCUUUACAUUCCAUACUCAACAUGGUUCAACAUAAAAAUACCGAGUUGCUGUGGUUGAUAGUGUGGACGAUCUCCGACUUCUUUAGGAUCCUUGAAGUAACCUUGCAAUACUAUAAGAGAAAGAGAAAUAAAAGACGUAAGCAUAAAGCUUAGUAAGUUUACUAGCAAAUAAAUAACAAUAUUUAACUAGAUAAUUAAACUCAAGUGUCUAUAUCUCUAGUUUACUAUUUAGUUAAUCUCAUUCUAGUUCUCUUGCUUGUUUACUUAGUAUACUUGUGUGCAUAACUUACUCCUCUCUUGCUGUAUAGUUGAAUAUCAAUUGAUAAUAUAAUAAGUUAUUAACUCUUAUAACUUACCUGAACUUGCCAUUUAUGUUUUUAACUGAACUUUCCUGAACAUGAUUCGUUAUUUAGCCCGUUGAGCUACAUUGGAACAAUAAGGAUACUCGGGUCUCUUCUGAUAAUAACAUGCCAAAGCCAUGUCCCAGACAUGGUCUUACAUGGGAUGUACUCAUGUCGGUGCCCAUUCCAUAUCCCAGACAUGGUCUUACGGGGGACCUCUCAUCUCGGUGCCAAUGCCAUGUCCCAGACAUGGUCUUACAUGGGACCUCUCAUCUCGGUGCCAACGCCAUGUCCCAGACAUGGUCUUACAUGGGACCUCUCAUCUCGGUGCCAACGCCAUGUCCCAGACAUGGUCUUACAUGGGACCUCUUUACCCAAAUGUCAUGACAUUCGUAUCCAGUACCAUCCUUACUAUUCAUGACAACCGAUAUAUAUAUAUACAUACUCACUAUUCACAAGGACUCGAACGAUUAUAUACUCAUCAACCACCUUAAAACAAUGUUCAUAAACUUAUCCAUUUCAUAUAAACAAAAGCAUAUAUAUUUAUAACCAAUGCAUAGAAUCACUUAAUUUAAACAGAUUCACUGGCACUUCACCUGAUAGGCUUAUAGUUUAAUUCAGUUCACCGGCACUUAGCCUACUAGGCUUGUAGCCUGAUUCAGUUCACCGGCACUUAGCCUGCUAGACGUAUAGUCCGAUUCAAUUCACCGGCAUUUAGCCUGCUAGACGUAUAGUCUGAUUCAAUUUACCGGCACUUAGCCUGCUAGACGUAUAGUCUGAAUAAUUUUACUGGUAAUAAAUCCGAUAGUAAUUUCUCCGUUGAAAUUGAAUUAUAUUCAAUUCUGCGUAACAAACAUGCACUUAAAACAUACUUGCAUAAUUCACAACAAUAAUUUCAGUCCAAAGAGCUGUAAUUCAUAUUCGAACUAUAUAUAUAUAAAUCCAUACAUAAAAAUUCAACUCAAAAUUUAUAACCUAUAUCUUUGAACCACAUAGGUACAUGAAAUUCAAACACCAAAAUCCAGCUCAAUAACUUCAUGAUUCAACCUAACAAAUUUAUGUAUAUAACUUUUUAUCUAAUUUCAAUACAAUAACUUAUACAUGUACGUAUAUACAUAUUCGAAUCUAACAUAUACAUAUAUAAUUUCAUACUUAAAUAUAUUCAAGACUUAUUCAUGAGUAUACAUAUAUAUUACAACUCACAUGUACAUAUAUAUACACAUUCAUACCUUUAACCAAGUCCAAGGCUUUAUACAUGUAUAUGCUUAUAUAUAUAUAUUCGGACCUUAUGUUUACAUAUAUAUAUUAUAUAAAUACCUUUGAUUAAAAACAAGUAUUUAUACAUAUAUAUAUUUUCGAACAUGAUACAUAUAUAUUUAUAUCAUUCAUACUUAAACAAAAUUCAAUCCAUAUACUUUCAAUUUCAGCUCACCAAAUUACUAUAGAUAUACAUGCAUAUAUACUGAUUUAAUAACCUCAAAUUGCUAAUAGACUUACCUCGGAUAUCAGCGGACACGAUCGAGUAUUCGAUUACUUUCGUUUUUCCCCGAUCCAAAUUCGUUUUCUUCGUUUUUUAUCUUAAUUAGACCUAGAGAUAGCCGAACCUUGUUGUUCUCUUUUCUUUUCUUUUCUUUUUCUUUUCUAUAUUCGGCCAAGAUGAAGAACAUGGCAUUUAAAAUUUGUUAUAUUAAACAUAUAUUAGCCUUAUUUUUAAUUUACUAUAUUAACCUUUACAUAUAUAUAACAUAUAUAAUAAGGUUACAUUAGUCCUUUGCCACCCACUAACUUACAUAGUGGACUAAUUGCAUAGUAAAACCUCUAAAUUAUAAAGACAACAAGAAUUAGGUCCUUUUAUAAUUAACCCCUAAAUUUUCAUUUUACGCGAUUAAGCCCUUUUAUUAAAUCGGACACUUAAACGACGAAAUUAAAACACGAAAAUUUCACACAAUCAAAUGCAUACAAAACAAUAUUAAUAAUAUUUUUCUAAUUCAAAUUUGUGGUCCCGAAACCAGUAUUCUGAUUAGGGUCAAAAACCGGGUUGUUACAACUCUCCCCCCUUAGGGAUUUUCGUCCCCGAAAAUCUUACCGGUGAAUAGGUUUGGAUAACGCUCUUUCAUUGUAUCUUCUAACUCCCAAGUUGCUUCUUCAACCCCAUGUUUAUGCCACAACACUUUAACUAACGGAAUUUUCUUAUUUCGUAAUUCUUUGAUCUCACGAGCCAGAAUGCUAAUCGGUUCUUCCUCAUAUGUCAUAUCAGAGUUAAUUUCAAUCUCCGUCGGACUAAUCACAUGUGAAGGAUCAGAUCGGUAUCUACGAAGCAUCGAAACAUGGAAUACGUUAUGAAUCUUUUCUAACUCAGGCAGUAACAUCAAUCUAUAAGCAACCAAUCCAACUCGCUCUAUAAUCUCAUACGGUCCAAUGAAUCUCGGACACAAUUUGCCUUUACGACCAAAUCUGAGUAUUUUCUUCCACGGUGAGACUUUUAAAAACACUUUAUCCCCGAUCUGAAAUUCUAUAUCCUUUCUUUUCAAAUUCGCAUAAGAUUUCUGACGAUCCGAUGCUGAUUUCAGACUGUCCCGAAUCACUUUCACUUUCUGUUCGGUCUCUUUAAUCAAAUCAACCCCGUGUAUCUUAUUUUCACUGAGCUCGGUCCAAUACAGUGGUGUACGACAUUUACAACCGUACAAAGCCUCAUAAGGUGCCAUUUUGAUACUAGAUUGAAAGCUAUUAUUAUAAGCAAAUUCAAUCAAAGGUAAGUAUCGUUCCCACGUACCUUCAAACUCGAGAAUGCAACAUCUCAACAUAUCCUCAAGUAUCUGAAUGAUUCAUUCAGAUUGACCAUCUGUCUGCGGAUCGAAAGCUGUGCUAAAAUGUAGUUUCGUACCUAAAGCAUCUUGUAGUUUCUUCCAAAAUCGCGAUGUGAAUCUCAGAUCUCUGUCUGAAACAAUAGAAAUAGGUACACCAUGCAACCUCACAAUUUGUGAAAUAUACAAUUCCGCAAGUUUAUCGAGCGAAAAAUCUGUACGAAUCGAAAUAAAAUGUGUCGAUUUUGUCAACCUAUCAACAAUAACCCAGAUUGCAUCUAUCUUGCUCGGUGUCAACGGUAAAUCGGAUACAAAAUCCAUCGUGACUCGAUCCCAUUUCCAUUGAGGUAUCAUGAUCGGCUGAAGCAACCCAGAUGGUACCUGAUGCUUGGCUUUAACUUGCUGACAAAUUAAACAUUUCGAAACAAAGUCAGAAAUGUCUCGUUUCAUACCUUGCCACCAAUAGUGCUGUUUCAGAUCGUUAUACAUUUUCGUGCUACCCGGAUGAACAGAAAAUCGACUACUAUGAGCUUCCUUCAAAAUCAUCUAAAUUAACUCUGAUUUUUUCGGAACACAUAAUCGGUUUCUAAAUCUCAAACAAUCCUCAGCAUCAACUAAAAACUCCGAAUCAAUAUUUAAGUCACAUUGAGCUCGUUUUGCAGUUAAAUCAUUAUCGACCUUUUGAGCUUCACAAAUCUGUUGUACAAAUAACGGUUUUGCUUUCAACUCAGCUACUAUCGCACCAUCAUCAGACAUAACCAUAUGUGCGUUCAUUGCACGCAAAGCAAACAGUGAUUUUCGACUUAGGGCAUCAGCAACAACAUUAGCCUUUCCCGGAUGAUAGUCAAUCACAAGCUCGUAUUCUUUCAGCAAUUCUAACCAUCGACGCUGUCUCAAAUUCAGAUAUUUCUGAGUCAUCAAAUAUUUCAGGCUUUUGGGAUCGGAAUAAACAUGACAUCUUUCACCAAACAGAUAGUGACGCCAUAUUUUUAACGCAAAUACAAUAGCGGCCAAUUCCAGAUCAUGUGUCGGAUAGUUUUUUUCAUGCGGCUUUAACUGUCUCAAGGCAUAGGCUACAACUUUGCCUUCCUACAUCAAAACACAACCCAAACCAUUUAAAGAUGCAUCACUAUAGAUAACAAACUCUUUACCCGAUUCGGGUUGAACUAAGACUGGAGCUUCGGUCAAAAGAACUUUCAACUGAUCAAAGUUUUUCUGACACUUUUCUGACCACUCGAACUUAACGUCUUUUUGUAGUAGCUUUGUCAUCGGGGUCGCAAUCAUAGAAAACCCUUUCACGAACCGUCUAUAAUAACCAGCGAGCCCCAGAAAGCUUCGAACAUCAGAGACAUUUCUCGGAGGUUUCCAAUCAAGUAUAGCUGAAAUUUUACCUGGAUCAACUCGAAUACCCGAUGCUGACACAACAUGGCCCAGAAAACUAACUUCACGUAACCAGAACUCGCAUUUACUGAACUUUGCAUACAACUGUUUAUCUCGCAAAGUUUGUAACACAAGUCUCAGAUGUUCAGUAUGCUCGGUUUCAUCACGAGAGUAGAUCAAAAUAUCAUCUAUAAAUACUACCACAAAUCGAUCCAGAUACUGUCUAAAAAUCUGAUUCAUCAAAUCCAUGAAAACAGCAGGUGCAUUAGUAAGUCCAAAAGGCAUAACCAAGAACUCAUAAUGUCCGUACCUCGUUCGGAAAGCUGUCUUUGGCACAUCAGAGUCUUUAACUCGCAACUGAUAGUAGCCUGAUCUCAGAUCUAUCUUCGAAAACACAGUAGCCCCUUUCAACUGAUCGAACAAAUCAUCAAUCCGUGGUAACGGAUACUUAUUCUUUAUAGUCACCUUAUUGAGUUGCCGGUAAUCAAUGCACAUUCUCAUUGUUCUGUCUUUCUUUUUCACAAAUAGAACUGGUGCACCCCAAGGAGAGAAACUCGGUCGUGUAAAACCUUUAUCAGUCAACUCUUGCAACUGUACUUUCAAUUCUUUUAAUUCGGUCGGUACCAUACGGUACGGAGCUAUCGAAAUUGGAGUUGUCCCUGGUACUAACUCAAUACCAAACUCUACCUCUCGAAUAGGUGGCAAACCCGGUAAUUCUUCGGGAAACACGUCUGAAUACUUACACACUACUGGCACAGAUUCAAUCUUCUUUUCGGUCACUUUACUAUCAAGAAAAAAUGCAAGGUAAUCUUCACAACCUUUUCUCACAUACUUCUGAGCCGACAUCGAGGAUAUUAUUGCUGGUAAACCAUUCAGAUCAUUAGAUUCAAUCCGAAUAAUCUCAUCAUUCUGACACCGUAGAUCAAUAGUUUUCCGUUUGCAGUUUACUAUAGCAUUAUGCAGAGUUAACCAAUCCAUACCCAGAAUUAUAUCAAACUCGUCAAAUGGUAGCAACAUCAAAUCAGCCAGAAAACAUAAAUCUCGAAUCAUCAACGGACAAUUCUUGCACACUUUGUCAACCAAAACACACCGGCCCAAGAGGUUCAAUACUUUAAUUACAAACUCAGUAGACUCAACAGGCAAAGUCUUACUGAAUACUAAAGUCUCACACACAUAAGAAUGAGUCGAACCAAGAUCAAUCAAUGCAAUAACAUUAGUAUCAUAAAGAGUGAAAGUACCAGUAAUAACAUCUGGAGAAGAAGCCUCCUCCCGAGCACGGAUGGCAUAUGCUCUGGCAAGUGCACGAGCCUCAGAUCGAACUGCCAUGUCCUUUGUUCCUCUCUGACUGCCACUUACAUUACUCAAUUGCCUCGGCGGUCUACCUCGUACAGGUACUUUACUCGGUCUGGUAUUCUACACAGUGUUUUGCUCAGCUACCAUCGGACACUCUCGAAUGAAAUGAUCCUUUGAACCGCACUUAAAGCAAGACCGAUCAUGUAAUCUGCAAUCUCCAGGAUGCCAUUUCCCACAAUGCUUGUACUCUGAUCUAUUUUGUCGAACACUACCAACGCUAGCAACUGAAGUAGCUCGUGAACUCACAGGGGGUCGAUCUCGAUCAUACUUAGGAAACCCUGCAGUAGCUUUAGAUCGGCUAUGAUCCUCUCUGGAUUUCAUUGAGGUCGACUGGAAUGAUUUACUGAAUGAUCUUUUACGAGAAUCUCGAGCUUCAUAGCCAGCUUUCCUCUUCUCUUUACUGAGCUCCUUAACUUUACAAGGUCGUUCAACAAGUACUACGAACUCUUUUAUCUCAAGUAUACCAAAUAACAGUUUAAUAUCUUCAUCCAGCCCAUCUUCAAAUCUUUUACACAUGAUAGCUUCAGUCGAAAUACAUUCUCGAGCAUAUCUACUGAGUCUCACAAAUUUCCGCUCAUAUUCUAUCACUGUCAUACGACCCUGUUUCAAUUCAAGAAAUUCCUUAUGCUUCUGAUCAAUGAAUCUUUGGCUGAUGUAUUUCUUACAGAACUCAAUCUGAAAGAAUUCCCAGGUCACUCGCUCUUUCGGAACCACCGAUACUAGUGUAUUCCACCAGUGAUAUGCAGUGUCCCGUAGCAAAGAUAUGGCACAUUUCAAGUACUCAUCAGGGGUGCAAGAUAACUCAUCAAACACUCGAAUAGUAUUAUCAAGCCAGAAUUCAGCUUGCUCAGCAUCAUCAUCAUCAGUAGCUCUGAACUCUUCGACCCCGUGUUUUCAAAUUUAGUCAACAGGAGGCUUAAGUAAUCUCAUCGGAUCACUUACUUGAGGUAUAAUAGGAAUCGAAGGUGGAUUAGUCGGGGGUGGAGUUUGUUGUGCAACCGGAUUAGUUCGGACAUAUUGAGUAAACCAGUCAUUCAUCAUUUGGUAGAAGGCUUGUUUAGCCUCUCCCUCCUGGUUACUCGAGGUCGGUCGAGAAUCUACCAGCUCUGUCCCUUGUGUGGGAGCAGGCGCUAUACUCUCAACAUCAUCGACUACGGCUGGAUCGGGAUCCAUUACUAUACGAAAACACAUUUUUAGACAUCAGCAGUCAUCGCACUAUCUUGGUAUAAAAAUAUGGCAUGUAUAGCUAGACUCAUACAUGCUACAUUAGUCCAAGAAUCGAUUAAACCGUAGCUCUGAUACCAAUAAAAUGUAACACCCCUAACCCGUAUCCGUCGCCGAAUUAGGGUUACGAGGCAUUACUGAACAAAUACAACCAUUUUUAAAACCAACUGAUCACAAACAUGAAAAUUAAAUCAUUUUCACAUAGCUAUUUAUAAUUUACAAUCAACAUCUAACCAACAUCGUACUCAAACCUAUACAUGCCAUAAGAUCAAGUUCAAAUAUUUAACAAAAUACCAAAAGGGGUCGAAAGUGUGAUAGACUAUGCUGAUGAUCCCCGAGCUCGUAACGCAUCUCCAAAAUCUAUAAAAACAAAUGGACAAAAACAAUCAAAGUAAGCUUUUAUAGCUUAGUAAGUCUAUAGCAUAUCUAAAAUACAUAUAAAAGAAUCAUAUAAUUCUUAAAAUAAAUUUAUUGAAAUCACAAUUAUCAAUUAUAAUUACUAAUCGAACAUUGCUAUAUUAAGUCAUCUUGUUUAAAUCUAAAAGGAUGUGUAUUUAUCUAAUACACAUGAACGGACAAAUGUAUAUACAUUAUAUGCAUAUAAUCAAUUUACUAACAUAAUCAUUAAUUGCAUAUACGGAUUUCUAUAGUACUUAUUGUUCGCACUUAAUCGGAUCCAUUUAAAUAUAAUUGUUCAAAUACAUAUACCAAAAGCAUAAUAAUUUUAUACUUGAUCAACUAUAAGUGCCGAAUGCACAUAUACACCUAUACCCACCUAUGCCGAAUGCAUACAUAUAUACACAUAUAUAUAUAUCCAACAAUUUCGUGACAACCGAUAUAUAUAUACAUACUCACUAUUCACAAGGACUCGAACGAUUAUAUACUCAUCAACCACCUUAAAACAAUGUUCAUAAACUUAUCCAUUUCAUAUAAACAAAAGCAUAUAUAUUUAUACCCAAUGCAUAGAAUCACUUAAUUUAAACAGAUUCACUAGCACUUCACCUGAUAGGCUUAUAGUUUAAUUCAGUUCACCGGUACUUAGCCUACUAGGCUUGUAGCCUGAUUCAGUUCACCGGCACUUAGCCUGCUAGACGUAUAGUCCGAUUCAAUUCACCGGCAUUUAGCCUGCUAGACGUAUAGUCCGAUUCAAUUUAUCGGCACUUAGCCUGCUAGAUGUAUAGUCUGAAUAAUUUUACUGGUAAUAAAUCCGAUAGUCAUUUCUCCGUUGAAAUUGAAUUAUAUUCAAUUCUGCGUAACAAACAUGCACUUAAAACAUACUUGCAUAAUUCACAACAAUAAUUUCAGUCCAAAGAGCUGUAAUUCAUAUUCGAACUAUAUAUAUAAAUCCAUACAUAAAAAUUCAGCUCAAAAUUUAUAACCUAUAUCUUUGAACCACAUAGGUACAUGAAAUUCAAACAACAAAAUCCAGCUCAAUAACUUCAUGAUUCAACCUAACAAAUUUAUGUAUAUAACUUUUUAUCUAAUUUCAAUACAAUAACUUAUACAUGUACGUAUAUACAUAUUCGAAUCUAACAUAUACAUAUAUAAUUUCAUACUUAAAUAUAUUCAAGACUUAUUCAUGAGUAUACAUAUAUAUUACAACUCACAUGUACAUAUAUAUACACAUUCAUACCUUUAACCAAGUCCAAGGCUUUAUACAUGUAUAUGCUUAUAUAUAUAUAUAUUCGGACCUUAUGUUUACAUAUAUAUUAUAUAUAAAUACCUUUGAUUAAAAACAAGUAUUUAUACAUAUAUAUAUUUUUGAACAUGAUACAUAUAUAUAUUUAUAUCAUUCAUACUUAAACAAAAUUCAAUCCAUAUACUUUCAAUUUCAGCUCACCAAAUUACUAUAGAUAUACAUGCAUAUAUACUGAUUUAAUAACCUCAAAUUGCUAAUAGACUUACCUCGGAUAUCAGCGGACACGAUCGACUAUUCGAUUACUUUCGUUUUUCCCCGAUCCAAAUUCGUUUUCUUCGUUUUUUUAUCUUAAUUAGACCUAGAGAUAGCCGAACCUUGUUGUUCUCUUUUCUUUUCUUUUCUUUUUCUUUUCUAUAUUCGGCCAAGAUGAAGAACAUGGCAUUUAAAAUUUGUUAUAUUAAACAUAUAUUAGCCUUAUUUUUAAUUUACUAUAUUAACCUUUACAUAUAUAUAUAACAUAUAUAAUAAGGUUACAUUAGUCCUUUGCCACCCACUAACUUACAUAGUGGACUAAUUGCAUAGUAAAACCUCUAAAUUAUAAAGACAACAACAAUUAGGUGCUUUUAUAAUUAACCCCUAAAUUUUCAUUUUACGCGAUUAAGCCCUUUUAUUAAAUCGGACACUUAAACGACGAAAUUAAAACACGAAAAUUUCACACAAUCAAAUGCAUACAAAAUAAUAUUAAUAAUAUUUUUCUAAUUCAAAUUUGUGGUCCCGAAACCAGUAUUCUGAUUAGGGUCAAAAACCGGGUUGUUACAACUCUCCCCCCUUAGAGAUUUUCGUCCCCGAAAAUCUUACCGGUGAAUAGGUUUGGAUAACGCUCUUUCAUUGUAUCUUCUGACUCCCAAGUUGCUUCUUCAACCCCAUGUUUAUGCCACAACACUUUAACUAACGGAAUUUUCUUAUUUCGUAAUUCUUUGAUCUCACGAGCAAGAAUGCUAAUCGGUUCUUCCUCAUAUGUCAUAUCAGAGUUAAUUUCAAUCUCCGUCGGACUAAUCACAUGUGAAGGAUCAGAUCGGUAUCUACGGAGCAUCGAAACAUGGAAUACGUUAUGAAUCUUUUCUAACUCAGGCAGUAACAUCAAUCUAUAAGCAACCAAUCCAACUCGCUCUAUAAUCUCAUACGGUCCAAUUAAUCUCGGACACAAUUUGCCUUUACGACCAAAUCUGAGUAUUUUCUUCCACGGUGAGACUUUUAACUUGCUCGGUGUCAACGGUAAAUCGGAUACAAAAUCCAUCGUGACUCGAUCCCAUUUCCAUUGAGGUAUCAUGAUCGGCUGAAGCAAUCCAGAUGGUACCUGAUGCUCGGCUUUAACUUGCUGACAAAUUAAACAUUUCGAAACAAAGUCAGAAAUGUCUCGUUUCAUACCUUGCCACCAAUAGUGCUGUUUUAGAUCGUUAUACAUUUUCGUGCUACCCGGAUGAACAGAAAAUCGAAUACUAUGAGCUUCCUUCAAAAUCAUCUGAAUUAACUCUGAAUUUUUCGGAACACAUAAUCGGUUUCUAAAUCUCAAACAAUCCUCAGCAUCAACUAAAAACUCCGAAUCAAUAUUUAAGUCACAUUGAGCUCGUUUUGCAGUUAAAUCAUUAUCAACCUUUUGAGCUUCACAAAUCUGUUGUACAAAUAACAGUUUUGCUUUCAACUCAGCUACUAUCGCACCAUCAUCAGACAUAACCAUAUGUGCGUUCAUUGCACGCAAAGCAAACAGUGAUUUUCGACUUAGGGCAUCAGCAACAACAUUAGCCUUUCCCGGAUGAUAGUCAAUCACAAGCUCGUAAUCUUUCAGCAAUUCUAACCAUCGACGCUGUCUCAAAUUCAGAUAUUUCUGAGUCAUCAAAUAUUUCAGGCUUUUGGGAUCGGAAUAAACAUGACAUCUUUCGCCAAACAGAUAGUGACGCCAUAUUUUUAACGCAAAUACAAUAGCGGCCAAUUCCAGAUCAUGCGUCGGAUAGUUUUUUUCAUGCGGCUUUAACUGUCUCAAGGCAUAGGCUACAACUUUGCCUUCCUACAUCAAAACACAACCCAAACCAUUUAAAGAUGCAUCACUAUAGAUAACAAACUCUUUACCCGAUUCGGGUUGAACUAGGACUGGAGCUUCGGUCAAAAGAACUUUCAACUGAUCAAAGUUUUUCUGACACUUUUCUGACCACUCGAACUUAACGUCUUUUUGUAGUAGCUUUGUCAUCGGGGUCGCAAUCAUAGAAAACCCUUUCACGAACCGUCUAUAAUAACCAGCGAGCCCCAGAAAGCUUCGAACAUCAGAGACAUUUCUCGGAGGUUUCCAAUCAAGUAUAGCUGAAAUUUUACUUGGAUCAACCUGAAUACCCGAUGCUGACACAACAUGGCCCAGAAAACUAACUUCACGUAACCAGAACUCGAAUUUACUGAACUUUGCAUACAACUGUUUAUCUCGCAAAGUUUGUAACACAAGUCUCAGAUGUUCAGUAUGCUCGGUUUCAUCACGAGAGUAGAUCAAAAUAUCAUCUAUAAAUACUACCACAAACAGAUCCAGAUACUGUCUAAAAAUCUGAUUCAUCAAAUCCAUGAAAACAGCAGGUGCAUUAGUAAGUCCAAAAGGCAUAACCAAGAACUCAUAAUGUCCGUACCUCGUUCGGAAAGCAGUCUUUGGCACAUCAGAGUCUUUAACUCGCAACUGAUAGUAGCCUGAUCUCAGAUCUAUCUUCGAAAACACAGUAGCCCCUUUCAACUGAUCGAACAAAUCAUCAAUCCGUGGUAACGGAUACUUAUUCUUUAUAGUCACCUUAUUGAGUUGCCGGUAAUCAAUGCACAUUCUCAUUGUUCCGUCUUUCUUUUUCACAAAUAGAACUGGUGCACCCCAAGGAGAGAAACUCGGUCGUGCAAAACCUUUAUCAGUCAACUCUUGCAACUGUACUUUCAAUUCUUUUAAUUCAGUCGGUGCCAUACGGUACGGAGCUAUCGAAAUUGGAGUUGUCCCUGGUACUAACUCAAUACCAAACUCUACCUCUCGAAUAGGUGGCAAACCCGGUAAUUCUUCGGGAAACACGUCUGAAUACUUACACACUACUGGCACAGAUUCAAUCUUCUUUUCGAUCACUUUACUAUCAAGAAAAAAUGCAAGGUAAUCUUCACAACCUUUUCUCACAUACUUUUUUGCCGACAUCGAGGAUAUUAUUGCUGGUAAACCAUUCAGAUCAUUAGAUUCAAUCCGAAUAAUCUCAUCAUUCUGACACCGUAGAUCAAUAGUUUUCCGUUUGCAGUUUACUAUAGCAUCAUGCAGAGUUAACCAAUCCAUACCCAGAAUUAUAUCAAACUCGUCAAAUGGUAGCAACAUCAAAUCAGCCAGAAAACAUAAAUCUCGAAUCAUCAACGGACAAUUCUUGCAUAUUUUGUCAACCAAAACACACCGGCCCAGGGGGUUCAAUACUUUAAUUACAAACUCAGUAGACUCAACAGGCAAAGUCUUACUGAAUACUAAAGUCUCACACACAUAAGAAUGAGUCGAACCAAGAUCAAUCAAUGCAAUAACAUUAGUAUCAUAAAGAGGGAAAGUACCAGUAAUAACAUCUGGAGAAGAAGCCUCCUCUUGAGCACGGAUGGCAUAUGCUCUGGCAAGUGCACGAGCCUCAGAUCGAACUGCCAUGUCCUUUGUUCCUCUCUGACUGCCACUUACAUUACUCAAUUGCCUCGGUGGUCUACCUCGUACUGGCACUUUACUCGGUCUGGUAUUCUGCACAGUGUUUUGCUCAGCUACCAUCGGACACUCUCGAAUGAAAUGAUCCUUUGAACCGCACUUAAAGCAAGACCGAUCAUGUAAUCUGCAAUCUCCAGGAUGCCAUUUCCCACAAUACUUGUACUCUGAUCUAUUUUGUCGAACACUACCAACGCUAGCAACUGAAGUAGCUCGUGAACUCACAGGGGGUCGAUCUCGAUCAUACUUAGGAAACCCUGCAGUAGCUUUAGAUCGGCUAUGAUCCUCUCUGGAUUUCAUUGAGGUCGACUGGAAUGAUUUACUGAAUAAUCUUUUACGAGAAUCUCGAGCUUCAUAGCCAGCUUUCCUCUUCUCUUUCCCGAGCUCCUCAACUUUACAAGGUCGUUCAACAAGUACUACGAACUCUUUUAUCUCAAGUAUACCAAAUAACAGUUUAAUAUCUUCAUCCAGCCCAUCUUCAAAUCUUUUACACAUGAUAGCUUCAGUCGAAAUACAUUCUCGAGCAUAUCUACUGAGUCUCACAAAUUUCCGCUCAUAUUCUAUCACUGUCAUACGACCCUGUUUCAAUUUAAGAAAUUACUUACGCUUCUGAUCAAUGAAUCUUUGGCUGAUGUAUUUCUUACAGAACUCAAUCUGAAAGAAUUCCCAGGUCACUCGCUCUUUCGGAACCACCGAUACUAGUGUAUUCCACCAGUGAUAUGCAGUGUCCCGUGGCAAAGAUAUGGCACAUUUCAAGUACUCAUCAGGGGUGCAAGAUAACUCAUCAAACACUCGAAUAGUAUUAUCAAGCCAGAAUUCAUCUCGCUCAGCAUCAUCAUCAUCAGUAGCUCUGAACUCUUCGACCCCGUGUUUUUGAAUUUUGUCAAUAGGAGGCUUAAGUAAUCUCAUCGGAUCACUUACUUGAGGUAUAACAGGAAUCGAAGGUGGAUUAGUCGGGGGUGGAGUUUGUUGUGCAACCGGAUUAGUUCGGACAUAUUGAGUAAACCAGUCAUUCAUCAUUUGGUAGAAGGCUUGUUUAGCCUCUCCCUCCUGGUUACUCGAGGUCGGUCGAGAAUCUACCGGCUCUGUCCCUUGUGUGGGAGCAGGCGCUAUACCCUCAACAUCAUCGACUACGGCUCGAUCGGGAUCCAUUACUAUACGAAAACACAUUUUUAGACAUCAGCAGUCAUCACACUAUCUUGGUAUAAAAAUAUGGCAUGUAUAGCUAGACUCAUACAUGCUACAUUAGUCCAAGAAUCGAUUAAACCGUAGCUCUGAUACCAAUAAAAUGUAACACCCCUAACCCGUAUCCGUCGCCGAAUUAGGGUUACGAGGCAUUACUGAACAAAUACAACCAUUUUUAAAACCAACUGAUCACAAACAUGAAAAUUAAAUCAUUUUCACAUAGCUAUUUAUAAUUUACAAUCAACAUCUAACCAACAUCGUACUCAAACCUAUACAUGCCAUAAGAUCAAGUUCAAAUAUUUAACAAAAUACCAAAAGGGGUCAAAAGUGUGAUAGACUAUGCUGAUGAUCCCCGAGCUCGUAACGCGUCUCCAAAAUCUAUAAAAACAAAUGGACAAAAACAAUCAAAGUAAGCUUUUAUAGCUUAGUAAGUCUAUAGCAUAUCUAAAAUACAUAUAAAAGAAUCAUAUAAUUCUUAAAAUAAAUUUAUUGAAAUCACAAUUAUCAAUUAUAAUUACUAAUCGAACAUUGCUAUAUUAAGUCAUCUUGUUUAAAUCUAAAAGGAUGUGUAUUUAUCUAAUACACAUGAACGGACAAAUGUAUAUACAUUAUAUGCAUAUAAUCAAUUUACUAACAUAAUCAUUAAUUGCAUAUACGGAUUUCUAUAGUACUUAUUGUUCGCACUUCAUCGGAUCCAUUUAAAUAUAAUUGUUCAAAUACAUAUACCAAAAGCAUAAUAAUUUUAUACUUGAUCAACUAUAAGUGCCGAAUGCACAUAUACACCUAUACCCACCUAUGCCGAAUGCAUACAUAUAUACACAUAUAUAUAUAUCCAACAAUUUCAUGACAACCGAUAUAUAUAUACAUACUCACUAUUCACAAGGACUCGAACGAUUAUAUACUCAUCAACCACCUUAAAACAAUGUUCAUAAACUUAUCCAUUUCAUAUAAACAAAAGCAUAUAUAUUUAUACCCAAUGCAUAGAAUCACUUAAUUUAAACAGAUUCACUGGCACUUCACCUGAUAGGCUUAUAGUUUAAUUCAGUUCACCGGCACUUAGCCUACUAGGCUUGUAGCCUGAUUCAGUUCACCGGCACUUAGCCUGCUAGACGUAUAGUCCGAUUCAAUUCACCGGCAUUUAGCCUGCUAGACGUAUAGUCCGAUUCAAUUUACCGGCACUUAGCCUGCUAGAUGUAUAGUCUGAAUAAUUUUACUGGUAAUAAAUCCGAUAGUCAUUUCUCCGUUGAAAUUGAAUUAUAUUCAAUUCUGCGUAACAAACAUGCACUUAAAACAUACUUGCAUAAUUCACAACAAUAAUUUCAGUCCAAAGAGCUGUAAUUCAUAUUCGAACUAUAUAUAUAUAAAUCCAUACAUAAAAAUUCAGCUCAAAAUUUAUAACCUAUAUCUUUGAACCACAUAGGUACAUGAAAUUCAAACAACAAAAUCCAGCUCAAUAACUUCAUGAUUCAACCUAACAAAUUUAUGUAUAUAACUUUUUAUCUAAUUUCAAUACAAUAACUUAUACAUGUACGUAUAUACAUAUUUGAAUCUAACAUAUACAUAUAUAAUUUCAUACUUAAAUAUAUUCAAGACUUAUUCAUGAGUAUACAUAUAUAUUACAACUCACAUGUACAUAUAUAUACACAUUCAUACCUUUAACCAAGUCCAAGGCUUUAUACAUGUAUAUGCUUAUAUAUAUAUAUAUUCGGACCUUAUGUUUACAUAUAUAUUAUAUAUAAAUACCUUUGAUUAAAAACAAGUAUUUAUACAUAUAUAUAUUUUCGAACAUGAUACAUACAUAUAUUUAUAUCAUUCAUACUUAAACAAAAUUCAAUCCAUAUACUUUCAAUUUCAGCUCACCAAAUUACUAUAGAUAUACAUGCAUAUAUACUGAUUUAAUAACCUCAAAUUGCUAAUAGACUUACCUCGGAUAUCAGCGGACACGAUCGACUAUUCGAUUACUUUCGUUUUUCCCCGAUCCAAAUUCGUUUUCUUCGUUUUUUUAUCUUAAUUAGACCUAGAGAUAGCCGAACCUUGUUGUUCUCUUUUCUUUUCUUUUCUUUUUCUUUUCUAUAUUCGGCCAAGAUGAAGAACAUGGCAUUUAAAAUUUGUUAUAUUAAACAUAUAUUAGCCUUAUUUUUAAUUUACUAUAUUAACCUUUACAUAUAUAUAACAUAUAUAAUAAGGUUACAUUAGUCCUUUGCCACCCACUAACUUACAUAGUGGACUAAUUGCAUAGUAAAACCUCUAAAUUAUAAAGACAACAACAAUUAGGUGCUUUUAUAAUUAACCCCUAAAUUUUCAUUUUACGCGAUUAAGCCCUUUUAUUAAAUCGGACACUUAAACAACGAAAUUAAAACACGAAAAUUUCACACAAUCAAAUGCAUACAAAAUAAUAUUAAUAAUAUUUUUCUAAUUCAAAUUUGUGGUCCCGAAACCAGUAUUCUGAUUAGGGUCAAAAACUGGGUUGUUACAACUCUCCCCCCUUAGGGAUUUUCGUCCCCGAAAAUCUUACCGGUGAAUAGGUUUGGAUAACGCUCUUUCAUUGUAUCUUCUGACUCCCAAGUUGCUUCUUCAACCCCAUGUUUAUGCCACAACACUUUAACUAACGGAAUUUUCUUAUUUCGUAAUUCUUUGAUCUCACGAGCCAGAAUGCUAAUCGGUUCUUCCUCAUAUGUCAUAUCAGAGUUAAUUUCAAUCUCCGUCGGACUAAUCACAUGUGAAGGAUCAGAUCGGUAUCCACAGAGCAUUGAAACAUGGAAUACGUUAUGAAUCUUUUCUAACUCAGGCAGUAACAUCAAUCUAUAACCAACCGAUCCAACUCGCUCUAUAAUCUCAUACGGUCCAAUGAAUCUCGGACUCAAUUUGCCUUUACGACCAAAUCUGAGUAUUUUCUUCCACGGUGAGACUUUUAAAAACACUUUAUCCCCGAUCUGAAAUUCUAUAUCCUUUCUUUUCAAAUCCGCAUAAGAUUUCUGACGAUCCGGUGCUGAUUUCAGACUGUCCCGAAUCACUUUCACUUUCUGUUCGGUCUCUUUAAUCAAAUCAACCCCGUGUAUCUUAUUUUCACUGAGCUCAGUCCAAUACAGUGGUGUACGACAUUUACGACCGUACAAAGCCUCAUAAGGUGCCAUUUUGAUACUAGAUUGAAAGCUAUUAUUAUAAGCAAAUUCAAUCAAAGGUAAGUAUCGUUCCCACGUACCUUCAAACUCGAGAAUGCAACAUCUCAACAUAUCCUCAAGUAUCUGAAUGAUUCGUUCAGAUUGACCAUCUGUCUGCGGAUGGAAAGCUGUGCUAAAAUGUAGUUUCGUACCUAAAGCUGUGCUAAAAUGCACACAAAAUAAACACACAAAAUAAUAUUAAUAAUAUUUUUCUAAUUCGGAUUUGUGGUCCCGAAACCACUAUUCCGAUUAGGGUCAAAAACCGGGUUGUUACAAUUCUGCUUCUUCUGCAUCAUCAUCUUUGGUAGCUCGAAAUUCUUCAGCCCCUUACUUCCUAAUCUUAUCAACAGGUGGUCUCUCACUGAUGACUAUACCUGCAGCUAGGGAAACUACAUGAGGAACCUGUGAAUCCUGAAGGGGUGGAGGUCUUACACCCGGAUUCAUACGAACGAACUCGGCAAACCAAUCAUUCAUGGCUUGGAAGAAGGCUUCUCUAGCUCCUCCUCCCUGUCUAACUGAUGCAGGUCUUUCACUAACGUUAACAUCUAGUGGCACCGUCCUUUCUGCGGAAGUAGGCGCAUUACUCUCUACUUCAUCUGCACCAGCUCGUUCAGGAUCCGUAACUAUAAAAUAAAAUAUUUUAAAAUCGUCAAGAGUCGUCACACUAUCAAAAUAUAUAAGUAUGGCAUGUAUAGGUAGACUUUUAUUCAUACUGCAUAUUUCUGAGAACCGAUUAAACCUGCUCUGAUACCAACAAAUGUAACACCCCUUACCCAAGACCAUUUUCGGAGUCGAGCACGAGGCAUUACUUAUCUUAUCUUACUAACUCGAAGCAUAAAAACUUAUUUUAAAAAUUAAUUUCACUAUUUACAGCAAUCUGUCCAAUCGAGCAGCAGUUACUAAAUUAAUAAUAACUCGAGCUACGGAACUUGAAAUUUAACUUCGUAAAUUUUCACUGAAACUAGACUCAUAUAUCUUCCUACCAUAAAGUUUUUAGGAUUUUUUGUUUAGCCAACUAGUACAGUUUAUUAGUCAAAUUCUCCCCUGUUUCACCAAUCGAUUGCCUUGACCUCUUAUCACUAAAAAUAAAAUUUCUCAAUGUGGGAUUUUCGUAUAGUGCUACUGCUUGCUUCUACAAAAAAUAGACUCAAUAAGGAAUCUAUAAAUAUAAACUACAGCUCCUAAAUAUUUUUUUAAAAAUUUUAAUGAUUUUCUAAACUCAAAAUAGGGGUCACCAAAAACUGUUCUAACCCUGUCUCACCAAAAUUCACAUAUCUUAAAAUAUAAAAUUCAUUUUGCUACACCGUUAUUUUUAUCUGAAAAUAGACUCAACAAGAUUUAAAUUCAUAUAUCAUUCACUCUUUAAUUCAUUUUAUACUAUCCUAGGUGAUAUUUCAAAGUCACGUCGUUGUUGCUGCCUGAAUUCUGUUUCUUUGCAAAAUUGUACCAUUUUAUGAUUUCCAUGCAUAGUUUAUCACUUACACUCUUAUAACAACAAACACUUCCAUACUUCACCAUUUUAGCAACCAUUCAUCAUCAACUACUUACAUAUCAUUCUUUAUCAAGAUCAUAAAUACAAACAUUUAAAAUAACUAAAUCCCUAUACAUUCCAUACUCAACAUGGUUCAACAUAAAAAUACCGAGUUGCUGUGGCUGAUAGUGUGGACGAUCUCCGACUUCUUUAGGAUCCUUGAAGUAACCUUGCAAUACUAUAAGAGAAAGAGAAAUAAAAGACGUAAGCAUAAAGCUUAGUAAGUUUACUAGCAAAUAAAUAACAAUAUUUAACUCAGAUAAUUAAACUCAAGUGUCUAUAUCUCUAGUUUACUCUUUAGUUAAUCCCAUUCUAGUUCUCUUGCUUGUUUACUUAGUAUACUUGUGUGCAUAACUUAAUCUUCUCUUGCUGUAUCGUUGAAUAUCAAUUGAUAAUAUAAUAAGUUCUUAACUCUUAUAACUUACCUGAACUUGCCAUUUAUGUUUUUAACUGAACUUUCCUGAACAUGAUUCGUUAUUUAGCCCGUUGAGCUACAUUGGAACAAUAAGGAUACUCGGGUCUCUUCUGAUAAUAACAUGCCAAAGCCAUGUCCCAGACAUGGUCUUACAUGGGAUGUACUCAUGUCGGUGCCCAUUCCAUGUCCCAGACAUGGUCUUACGGGGGACCUCUCAUCUCGGUGCCAAUGUCAUGUCUCAGACAUGGUCUUACAUGGGACCUCUCAUCUCGGUGCCAACACCAUGUCCCAGACAUUGUCUUACAUGGGACCUCUCAUUUCGGUGCCAACGCCAUGUCCCAGACAUGGUCUUACAUGGGACCUCUUUAUCCAAAUGUCAUGACAUUCGUAUCCAGUAUUAUCCUUAUGUAUCAACGGGACUUUUUAAUUUUAAUUCUCUAUCAUUUCAUGCUUGGAUAAUCAUCAAAUAAAUUCAUGAAAUAAAUUCAUAGUUGCUGGAAAAUAGCAGCAUUAAUAAAAAUUAUUGAAAUAUUUCAUUUAUUUACCGUAAACUUACCUUGGUACCGAAUAUAGCCCAAUUCACCAACUUAGUCUUCAACUUUAUUCUUUCCUUUGUCUAACCUCGAGUUUCAUUCUUCUUGAUCUAAAAUAGAAAAUUUAACUUAUUUAAUACUCACAUUCAUCAAAACAGCCCUCGACUCUAACUUUUCAAAAUUAUGAUUUUGCCCCUAAACUUUUACAUAAUUACAUUUUUCCCCAAGGCUCGAAAAUUCAACUUCAUCUCAUAUUCUUAUGUUUUAUGGCAUGCUGAAUAUUUUUCUCUUCUAUGACAAUAUCAAAUUCUCACUCUAACACUUACUUAUGUACAUUAGAGAUUUUUACCGAUUAUGUCAACUUACUCGUUUUUGCUUAAAAUCGGCUAACAAAAGUUGUUUAACAUAAUUUAUAGCUUCAUAUUCUAUCAUAAAACAUCAAAAUAAACACUUUUCACCUAUGGGUAUUUUUCCAAAUAUAAACCCUAGGUUAAAUUAUUGCUAGAAUAAGCUAAAUUAAGUUACCGGGACUCCAAAAACGUAAGGAACAUUAAAAACGGGGCUUGGGAUCACUUACUAUGGAGCUUGGAAGCUUGAAAACCCUAAAUAUGGCUUACCCCCUUGCUGAUUUCGUCCAAAUGAAGAAGAUGAGCAUAAUUUGUCAUCUUUUUCCCUUUUAAUUCAUUUUAAUUACUAGAUUACCAAAUUGCCCCUAACUUAAAAAUUUCCUAUUUCACUUAUCUCAUGUCCAUUUUUGUCUAAAAACUUAACCAAUGGUCUAAUUACCAUAUAAAGACCUCCAAUUUAAAGUUUCAUAACAAUUGGACACCUCUAACAUGUAGAACUCAACUUUUGCACUUUUUGCAAUUUAGUACUUUUGACUAAAUUGAGUGCCCAAACUUCAAAAUUUUCGAAUAAAAUUUUCAUGAAAUCAUUUUGUGAAAUCAUAGACCAUAAAAAUAUAAGAAAAAUAAAAUUUUCCUCAUCGGAUUUGUGAUCCCGAAACCACUGUUCCGAUAAUCUUAAAUUUGGGCCAUUACAUGAUCACCUUUUUACUAGCUCAUACAUCUCCUACAUCAGACCUUACAUGCAUGCUUACCAAACUUUAUUCUUUUUAACAAAACUUUAUACAUAUCAUCGUAGCACAUCUUUCAUCUUUACUAAACUCAUAUUUUUACCAAUUUCUGUAGACAUCAUCAUCAUCAUCCUAUAUAUAUGCUUCUUGUUUGAACAGUUCAUAUCAAAGAGUCAAGAUAGAGACCCACUUGACACUCACCUACUGCAGUUCAAAGCUCUAAACUUAACCAUCCUUCUCAAACCAGCAGUAAAAACUGCUUAUAGAACAUAGAAUCACCAUUAAAAACCCAUUUACAUACAAAUUACUAUCAUCUUAAUCACUUUUCCACUGUUAAUUUAUAAAUAAGUGUUAAGUAGUAAAUAAAUAAAAAAAUUAACUAAGUUUUCAAAAAAAAAGUCACUGUGACGAGAAGAAUGUUAAAAUUAAUUGGUGUUUGUUAACUCAUAUGUUUUUCUAAAAAUGGGUUAAGUUUUCUUCUGAAAUAAACAAAUGUUUUAAAAUGAUUGUUUUAUAAACUCCGAUCGUACUAUCCCAUCUUGGUGGCUGAUGUAAUAUCCCAAAUUCAGGUCUAACAUCUAAGUCGGGUUGGAUAGGUUACAAUAUAUAUAGAAAGAUUGAUAAAUAAUGCAAACUUGAAUACAAGCAAAGAAAGAAAUCAAUCAAUGUGAAUGACUAACAAGUUUAAAAUCAUAUAUUUGCAUUAUAUUUUGUAAAGCACAAGAUUGUCAUGGAAUUAGACAAUUUGUUUUGAUAAUGGUUAUAUUUUAUAUAGAUUUACUUUUAUGCACUUUCAUAUUGAGUUGAUCAAAAGUUUUGAAACUUUAUAGAAAAUUUGAAUGAAAGAGCAUAUUGAUAUAUAUGCUAUCUUGAGUGUUGAAUUAAGCAUUCUUUAGUAAAAGAGUGUACAUUUCGCACAUGGUAGGUGUGUUGGUUUCUUAUAUAUUAAUUAAGCACAAAUUAAAGAAAAAUAAUAUAUAUCACCAUAGUGUUGUAAUAUUUUGUAUAAUUUGUGAAAUUAUACAAGCAAAUAAGUUUACCUAUCUUGUUAAAUAAAACUCAUUAAGUUGGUUCUUAAUCUUGAAGAAUUAAAUAGGUUGGCUUCUUUAUUCAUUUUAUCCAACUACAAGUUAGAUUAAAGUUGUGGAAAUAGAAUGGUUGAAAAUUUGUGUUAAUGAGAAUUAGAGUUAUGGCCACAACUGAUGCCAACUAUUUCCUAAAAACAGGGAAUGAUGUCCAAAAACAUGCUGUAAAAUAAAAAUUUGGACAUGUUAGAAUAUGAAUUUAUUAUAUUAUAGUUUCAAUGUAAUACCCUUAUCCCAUCUCUGUUGCCGGAUUAGGAUUUCAGAGUAUUACUGAGAAAAAUAGAACAUUUAACUUUCCAACAGAAACAAUUGUACAAUUAAAUACCAACAUAUAACAAUUGAAUCUAAUCAUGGCAAAUAUUACACUUUUGGACCUUGAAUCGAGCCUAUGGGGCCCUAGAAACAGUUUAGGAACAAUCUGGGAUCAAAUCAAAACAAAUCAGAACAUUUUGAAAAAACAUAAAAAUUUAGGAAUACAGAGGUCACAGGCCAUAUGGCCAAGUCGUGUGACAUAGCCUAGAUUGUGUAAACAUCCGAAGUCAGGACACAUAGCUGUGUCCCAGCCUGUGUGUCUACUCAUGUGUAUAUUUGAAAUAGGGUCACACAGUCGUGUUGCAGACUGCCAAACGUGUGUGUAUUCAAAGUGAGGUCGCAAGACCAUGUGGCCGACCGUGCCACAAACUGUUUUGAGACACAAGGUCAUGUCUCAGACCGUGUAAAACAUGCACUUAAAAUAAUAAAUACACACGACCGUAUCUAGUGACUAUGUGUGGCACAUGGUCGUGUGGUAGCUUGUGUCUCAGGUCGUGUGCUCCAUUUUUAACCCCUAAAUCAAGCCAAUCAAGCAUCAUUUCUUAUACAACAAGACAUACCAUAUCUAACUAAUUUUACAUGGUUAAAAACACAUUCAAAUCAACAAAUACAUGCCAAAAUUUCGUUCAUCCUAUGUCUAACCAAUAUGCCAUCAAAAGGCACCUCAAUCCAUACAUCCAUUCAACUCAAGAACAAAGUUACAAUAAAUGAACAAGUUUUAUCAUUAGUUAACCAUUCAUGCCUAAAACCACUAAUCUAAUUGACCAAAAUAUGGGCAUACUCAACAAGCAACCAUUUCAAAACAUCAUCAUCAAAUCUUUAUAUACCAUUUAUGAUCAACUUAAUUAUAUUCAACACAAGUACACAUCCAAAAUCAAGCACAUCACUAAGUAUGCCAAAAUAACUUAACUAUUUACAUAUCAACAAUAAGACACCAUAUCCCAAAAUGAAAUAAAAAAGCUACCAAGAUGGUUGGAUAGUGUGUGCUCCAAAACAAUUCAUCCGGUUAGUCCACAAAACGCCAAAUCAACCAAUAUAGAUAAACAAAAAGGUAAGUUCUAAUUCUUGAUAUUCAAAUGCAAGAUCACACCACAUUAGUAUAUAUUUAUUUACAUCAUAAAUGAUACCUUCCAAAAUUCAUAACCAAUUCAUCAUCCACAAUUUCUCAAUACAACCAUUAAUAUUUAUAAACAAGAACUUCAUAGUAACAUUUAUCAUUUAGUAGUAAUAUAAUUAUCCAACAAAAUUGAACAAAUAAAUGCGUUUUAAGUCAUUUGAUACAUAGCCUGCUGAACUAUAGUAACUUGACUCGGAUACUCAUGAUACUACAUCACACCAAAGGUAUCAAUGAUGCAUAACAGAGGCACCGAAGUGCAGACAAAUGCAUGAAUGUGCAAUCAGAGGCACCGAAGUGAAAACAGAUGCACCAAAGUACAAACCCGUACGAGUGCGCAUUAAAACCCUAUUGGCAUGCUAAUCGUAUCCUAAUUGUUUACUACGUUCAACUGGGCAUUAUACUUAAAAUCAUAAUAUCAAUAAAUCCAUCAUUUAGAGGCACUUCUUAUUUCCGUACACAUACUAUAAAUAUGUAACUUUCAUUUCAAUAAUAUGCAAUAACAAUAAUUACCAUCAUCAAACAUUCAUUUUCUAUUUGUACUUAAUUGCAAAAUUUAAUAAUAUAUAAGUAACUCAUGAAAUUUCACAUAUAUACCAUUAACUAGAAAACAAUAAUAUAAUCAUAAAGUGACACACAUAUACAUAUUAUUACACUAUGAACUUACCUAAAAUCUACUUUCGAUUAAUACACAGGGACUACUCCGCUAUUUUUUCCCUUUUCUCGGUUAUUGUCUUUUUGACUCGGUUCUUGAUCUAUAUAGUAAUUAAAUUCAAUUUAUGAAAUUCACAUACAUUUAAAACUCAAUUCAAUGCAUGAUACCCUUAUGUUUUCAUUAUUUUCACAUUUUUCUUAAACUUUUACAUUUCUCACAAUUUAGUCCCUACAAAAUUUAACAAAAUUUUACAAUUUUCCAUGUUAGUUGAACUUCUUUCGAAACUAGUACAAUCCCUAAUUAUUCACAAUUCACAAAAUUUCUAUGCAAAUUUUAAUAAUUCACACAUUGAUCAUUAAACUCAAAAUUAACACAAAUUUUUUUACAAAAAUAUCCUAAUCAACAUUCAAAUAUGUACAACUACCAUUAAAAAUCAUGAACACCAAAAUUCCAUUACUAACCAAUCCCUAAAACUUUAACAUUUUUAUAAUUCCAUCCUCGGGUUUAAUAGUUUAAGUUACAACGAGUUCAAAAACGUAAAAAUUAUUAAAAACAGGUAAGAGAAACACUUACAUGCACCAAUUUGCUAACCGAAACUUCAAGCUCCAAAAAUGGAGUUUUUUUUUUCUUUUUCGGUGGGAGAGAGUUGAGAAGAUGAUGAUACCAUUUUUUUCUUUUGUUUCUUUUCUUUAAUCAAACUAAUUACUAAAUUAUCCUUUUAAUCUAAACUAAAUUAUUAACAUAGCAUGUCCGUAAUUAUCCAUUAACUAACCAUAAGGUUUAUCUAUCAACCAAGUCCAUUACUUUAGUUUUUCUUUAAAAAUCAAGCACAUUUAACAAAUAGAAGCCACUUUAGCAUCUUUUACAAUUUAGACCUUUUUACUAAAUUAACUAAACAGACAUUAAAAUUUCUUAGCCAAAUUUUAUUAUGACUCCAAUAUAACUCUAUAAGCAUAAAAUAAACAUAAAAUACUAACUCAUUUGUCGAAAUUGUGGUCCUGAAACCACCUUUUUUGAUACCACUGAAAAAUGAGAUAUUACAUUAAAUCUCUAAUUUAUGAUAAUGAAUGUGAGAGAAUAAUUUUCUUUGUUUAGAAAUACUAAUCAUUUUCUUUGUUUAGUAAUACUACAACUAGAAUGUGUUUCGACCCUAUUAUUAGAAACUAAUAAUGGAAACCCAACUUUUAAUUAGAAACCUCUAAUUUUAAAGUUUAAUAGGUAACACCCCGAAUUUUGGCCCUAGAAGAAAUAUGUUUUGAACAAGGGAACAGUUAGGAGACUGCACAUAAAUAUUUAGUUGUGCAAGGAAGUGACAUAAAUGAAUGUCUACUUCAGUGGUUGAGUGAUUUAGGAGUGUUUGGAACUGUCUGAGAAGUCAGGGAUUCAAGCAUUGCUUAUGCAAAAUUUUUAUUUUAAGUGAAUAAAAUCAUUGGAUCUAGAUAGUAAGUUCUUAAAUUAUUGUGGUUAAAAUAUGAUGCAAAAGAGUUGUUGGUCUAGUGGUAAGGGGUGUGUGGAGUGCACAUAGGGCCUAAGGUUCGAGUGGUGGCGCAUCAGAAAGGAAAUAUUUAUUUUGCUACUUGAGCUGUUUAGGUAGUGGAGUUGGACUGAAACACAACUAAGGGGAGUUUGCAUAGAAUUUGAAUGGAGUUGUUGGGGGAGUUGAGGAGAAACCGGUAGAAUAAUUUAAGGAGGGAUAAGGGGAGAGAUUUUAGGAGAAAAUCAAGGGAAGUGAGGGGAGUGAAGAAGUGUGCCGAAAGUGGACUUUGAUACUCAGGAAAUUUGGCCAGAAGGGAUACUGCUCAUUUUGGUAUACUUUUCAUUUCGGUUUUGUGUAGUGUUUCUCUCUCUUUUUGCUUUUUGGUGCCGAAUUUUUGCUAAGAUUUCGAGUACCACUCGGGUUUUUCUUUUGCUGCUUUUUUCUUUUAUCAUUUCUUUUGUUUUGGCCGAAUUUCUUUUUAGUUCCCUCCUUUGUCGAAUUCUUUUCUCUCUUCUCUUUGUUGCUUCUUUUCAUUUCUCUAUUUUUCCAAACCUUGACCGAACAGUGUUGAAGUAGUUCUGUGUUCCAUCUUUUGUCUAAAAUGCUCUUCUUCCUCUACUCCUUUUGAUCAACUAUUUGUCGAAUAUUGCCUUCUCUCCCCUUUUAUCUCUUUAAAUUUAUUUUCGGCUUGACAACAAUUCUCUAACAGUUCAAAUUUCUUGAGGAGUGAAAAAGUAUCGCAUAAUAUUAAAGUCAUCGAAACCUUUCUCUCAUCACUCGAUCAAAGGUAAGUAUGUAGGCUAGCAUUCUAAAGUGUAGGCUGAGUGCUUUCUAUGGUUUCAUAAGUUAUUAUGUUUGGAUUUAAACCACAUGAAUAAACAAUCCUAUUUAAUAAAAUCCGUUUGUAAUGCAGAUAUCCAUCAAAGAGAUUGUAGUCAACCUUCGUCAGUGAUAUAAGUAGGCUAAGUCACAUUUGACAAUCGAGGCUUUGGUGCUCGUGGAUCUUAGAGUGUUUUCACAAUCAGGUGUGUAAACACCCCACUGUAACCGUAGAACGACAAAAAGCUAAAAGGCCAAAAAUACGGUGUUUGAGACCACACAGGCGUGCGAUCUCUCAUGUGGUAAGCCCAACCCACAAAUCAUGGCCGAUAGACUGUAGAGGCCUCCAUGAACAUUUCCAUGGGCUUAGGCCGUAAUGGGCCACGUUGGGCCGAAAUGGGUCGUGUGGGUUCAAUAGGCUCGUGGGCACCAUACAGAUGAGAACCACGAUUUGUGAAAAAUACUGGACUGGGCUAUGAAGAUCUCAUAGCCGUGGAAAAAUCUGGGCUGAACAGGCCGCACAAGCGUGCGGGCCUACUUGGGCCGAGUAAUGGGCCUUAGGCCCAUUUGUACCAUUAUGACCAUUUAGGUUACCUGAGUCGCUCGAGGUAACUACGGACCUUUCGAGAGGUCGAUAUCUGCACCAAGACCCAAAAUAGGUAAAAUGAUCGAAAUACCCCUAUAGAGUAAAAUGACCGAAAUACCCCCAAAGGAUAAAAUGAUUGAAAUACCCCUAUAAGGUAAAACGAUCGAAAUACCCCCGUAGGAUAAAAUAACUAUUAUACCCCUAGAAGAUGAAAUGACUGUUAUGGCCUUAUGCUAUGUAUGACUGUUUUGCUCUAUGAUAUGUAUGACUAUGGUUGAGCAUGACAUUUUUCAUACACGUAUGAUAUUAUGUCAUGAUAUAUUGCAUGGGGAUGGAUUGUUAUAUUUGGAGGAAGUGUACUGUACUGACAAGGUUGCACGGGUCGCCCAAGACGACUGUGGACCUACUGAUGGCUAUAUGCCAUUUAUUUUACUGGCAGCUUUGCUGCAAUACUGUUUAAUGCUGCAACUGGUGCUAAUCUUGGUGUGUUUGGAUGGAUGGGUAGAUUUUAUCCCCCAUAUGGUGUGUUUGGCGGAACUGUAACACCCUUAACCUGAAUCCAUUCUGACAUUGUCUCACAAAAUUUAUUAUAUCUCAUAGUUUACAAUUUUAUUACUUACACCAUUUCUUCCAUGAGAAACUAGACUCAAUAAGUUUUAAUUCUAUAUUUUAUUCAUACUCUAAUUCGAUUUUCAUAAUUUAUGGUGAUUUUUCAAAGUGAGCCUACUGUUGUUGUCCAAAACUAUUUUAGUACAAGAUGUUUAUUACCAUGUUUAUAACACCCUUAUUUUCUUUCUCUACACUAUUUCUCAUCCCUUUCUCUUAUUUUCUCUUCACUUACAUAUUAAGAACAUAGGACCAUAUAUACAAAAAAACUUUACACUAACAUCAUUUCCAUACUUUUUCAAUAAUAUCAAACUUAAAAAUAUACUAAAAUCUUGAUGUACUUACCUUGUCAUAUUGAUUUUAAUCUUUAACUUGAUUUUCUCUCUCCUCCAGCUUCUAUUUCUUGAAUCUAACUUGAUAUUAUAGCUCCCCAUAGUCUCCUUGUAAUCUUUCUCUCUUGAUGGAUAUGGAAAUUCUUUUGAUUUCUAGAUGAAAAUAGUGAAUUUUUGGUGAAAGGACUAAAUUGUAAAGAAAGCAAAACUUUCUUUCUUCUCUUCUCCUCUUAACGUGAAUUGCAUGGAAAAGAUGGUGGGUUGGUUCCUUUUCAUCUUUCUUUCCACAUAUAUAUACUAAAUAAUAAAAUAAUAAAAUAUCAUUUAAAAAUCAAAUUAAAAUACUAAUAAACUAAUAUUUAUUUGUUUAUUUAAUCUAAAAUAUCUCCAACAUCAUCAUUAUCUUCUAGAUUUCUCUCUCUUCUAAUUGACCAUUUUGCCCUUCAUGAUAUUUUAAAAUUCCAUCCUUGAGUCAUCACUUAAUUUCGUAAAAUUUCAAUUUAGUCCCUCAAAAUUCCUCACCUUUUUUCAAUUUAGUCCUAAUACAUCCAUUUUCCUUAGUUUCUAGAUCAUUCCACCCUUAAAAUAUUUACACCAUUGGUCCUUCAAUUUUUUCAUAUUUACACUUUAACCCCUCAAUUUUUGAGUAUUUACUCUUGGGCAACAAAAUUUUUACGAUUUAAUCCUUUCUUGAGGUAAUAUGUCAUAAUAUACUUCCCAAUGUUGACAUAACUCCAAAAUUCCCUUUUUUGUCGCUUUAUUUCCUUAUUUUUUUAUAUCAAAGAUAAUAUCUUACUGUAAAAAUUUUUUUGGGGGGUAUUACAUUUCUCUCCCCCUCAAAAUAAAUUUCGUCCUCGAAAUUUCCUUAUUUUCUUUUGAUCAUGAACUUAUUUUUUCUUUAAUUCUAUAGUUCAUUUUUUUUGCAUAUAUUUACUUAGCUUAUCAUUUGUGUCUAUUCUUUAUUCUUUCAUUUCACAAUUUAUUUUUAAUUUAAUAUUUCAAACAUGAAUCAGAGAUAAACUUUUACCUUGUAACUAAAAUUAUUUACCUUUUUACCUGAGGCCCAGUGGACUAAAUAGAACACGUAGGAUAUAUGAAAUUGAUACAGAAGUGCUCUGUUAUACAUCAUUAAACAGAGAGCACUAAAGUGUUAUACGGGAGCAUAAAUGUGCUAAUAAUUGGAGAGCACUAGCGUGCUAUUAAUCAGAGAGUGCGCUAAGGUUCCUUAAUGAUAUACUACUAAUAUCCUAAUAGUUCUAAUCUCAUCUACUUGGGCAAAUUAUAUCAUGCAUGCAUACGACUUUUACACUUUGCGCAUAAUGCUUUUACAUACUUUACAAUUUAAACCUUGUACCAAUGAUUCGUAUAUUUAUACCUUCUCUACCUUUAAUACAUGUAAUAUAUUUCAAAAUUCACUAAUAAUCCAUAUAUAUCAUGUACUUCAUAUAUCAUUUUUACAUAUUAUGCAAUUUAGUCAUCAGCGCAAUAUUUCUUGUAGCAAUAUGUUUUUCUUUUAAUGACACAUAUAACAUUCAUCAUCGACAUGUAUUAUAAAACAUUUAUUCAUACUUUCAUGAGUUCCAAUUCAUCCUAAUCAAUUUUUUUUACUCAUAUACUUGAGUAUCACUUUCAACAUUAUCAGAAUUAGCUCGGUUAGGAAAACAUCUCUGUUUAUAAGUAAAACAAUUCUCAUCAGACUCGAGAGAUAUCACACUAUCACAGGUUACAUAAUGGCAUGCAUUUCUAGACUUCACAUAAGCUACGUUUGGUCCAAGAACCGACUAAAUCGUAGCUCUGAUACCAAUAAAUGUAACACUCUUAACCCGAAUCCAUUCUGACAUUGUCUCACAAAAUUUAUUAUAUCUCAUAGUUUACAAUUCUAUUACUUACACCAUUUCUUCCAUGAGAAACUAGACUCAAUAAGCUUUAAUUCUAUAUUUUAUUCAUACUCUAAUUCGAUUUUCAUAAUUUAUGGUGAUUUUUCAAAGUGAGCCUACUGUUGCUGUCCAAAACUAUUUUAGUACAAGAUGUUUAUUACCAUGUUUAUAACACCCUUAUUUUCUUUCGCUACACUAUUUCUCAUCCCUUUCUCUUAUUUUCUGUUCACUAACGUAUUAAGAACAUAGGACCAUAUAUACAAAAACUUUACAUUAACAUCAUUUCCAUACUUUUUCAAUAAUAUCAAACUUAAAAAUAUACUAAAAUCUUGAUGUACUUACCUUGUCAUAUUGAUUUCAAUCUUUAACUUGAUUUUCUCUCUCCUCCAGCUUCUAUUUCUUGAAUCUAACUUGAUAUUAUAGCUCCCCAUAGUCUCCUUGUAAUCUUUCUCUCUUGAUGGAUAUGGAAAUUCUUUUGAUUUCUAGAUGAAAAUAGUGAAUUUUUGGUGGAAGGACUAAAUUGUAAAGAAAGCAAAACUUUCUUUCUUUUCUCCUCUUAACGUGAAUUGCAUGGAAAAGAUGGUAGGUUGGUUCCUUUUCAUCUUUCUUUCCACAUAUAUAUACUAAAUAAUAAAAUAAUAAAAUAUCAUUUAAAAAUCAAAUUAAAAUACUAAUAAACUAAUAUUUAUUUAUUUAUUUAAUCUAAAAUAUCUCCAACAUCAUCAUUAUCUUCUAGAUUUCUCUCUCUUCUAAUUGACCAUUUUGCCCUUCAUGAUAUUUUAAAAUUCCAUCCUUGAGUCAUCACUUAAUUUCGUAAAAUUGCAAUUUAGUCCCUCAAAAUUCUUCACCUUUUUUCAAUUUAGUCCUAAUACAUCCAUUUUCCUUAGUUUCUAUAUCAUCCCACCCUUAAAGUAUUUACACCAUUGGUCCUUCAACUUUUUCAUAUUUACACUUUAACCCCUCAAUUUUUGAGUAUUUACUCUUGGGCAACAAAAUUUUUACGAUUUAAUCAUUUCUUGAGGUAAUAUGUCAUAAUAUACUUCCCAAUGUUGACAUAACUCCAAAAUUUCCCUUUUUGUCGCUUUAUUUCCUUAUUUUUUUAUAUCAAAGAUAAUAUCUUAGUGUAAAAAAAAAUUUUUUGGGUAUUACAGGAACAGAGUGGUGUGUAGAGGCUGGAUUGGGUAGGAUUUCUAACUGCAUAUCUACACUAAUUAAUGAUUUUGUAUUGUUACUACAUCGAUUAAUGAUAUUACAUACUGUUUACUGCAUGACUGAUAUUUGUUGCUGUUAUGGGCCAAGGCCCCACUGAUACUAUUACUGAAAUUGGGCAAAUGCCCUAUUGAUUAUUGGUAUUGUGAUGGGCUCAAGCCCAAUCGUUUAAUGUUACGGGAAAGGGCUUAGGCCCACACUGAACUGGACUGUUACUAUAACAGGCUCAGGCCCAAACUGUAUUUAUCUAUUGUUUAAUUGACUACUUACUUGUUAGGGGAUUGCACACUGAGUUUUCGUAAACUCAACCCGUUGUUUAACUGUACAGGUAAUCCCUAGUUGUAGUAGGGUCAGUGCUGCGAGGGACUCGAUGAUGGCCACACAACUGCAUCAGCUUUUGUUUUUAGCCUUUGAUUUAUAAGAAACUGAAUUUGGGUAUUUUUAUGUAAAAAGGCCUCUUUAAAGUUAUAAACUUUAAAUUGGGGUUUUUAUUUAUUUAGUUUGAUAUAAACUACUAGUUGUAGAAAAAGACGGGUUUUCAAAAGGUAAAUGUUUUCAAAGUUUCAAAAGGUAAAUGUUUUCAAAGACACCACGUUUUCGCAACAUUUCUAAAAAAAAACUUCCGCAAUGAAUGAGAUUUUGGAAAAUUUAUAACGUUUUAAAAGUGAUUAGCUUUUAAUGAUGCAUGCUUGGAAAUGAACAACCCGUUUUGGAAUCAUAGUUUAACAGCAAAAUGAUUAAUUGAUUUUAAAGAUUUCAACGACAACAAGUUUUACGCUAAACACCUUAAAGUGACACCGCCAGAUUCAACCAUAACUCCUAGGCCGGGUUUGGGGUGUUACAAUGUGUUUCAACCCUAUUAUUAGAAACUGAUACCCUAUUAUUAGAAACUGAUAAUGGAAACACAACUUUUAAUUAGAAACCUCUAAUUUUAAAAUUCAAUAGGUAAAAGCAAGUUAUCGUUAAGUGCCUGUGAUACGCUAGUAAAACUCAUUCUAGAAAAAAAAGUUUAAUGGAAACAAUUGUUAUCCAUUGCGUAUAGAGGAUGAAUUUGAAUACUAUUAAUUAAGUUCAUUGUUUAUUGUUUAAAUGUCUAAAGUAAGGGAGACAUUAAAAGAACUCUACCUUUAUAAACAUAAGAAGUGGUGCCACUUCAACAAGUAAAGGUAGGGUCUCUCUUGUAAAUGUUUAUUAUGAACAAGAUAAGCACAUGAUCAUUUUAGUGCUAAAAGUGAACAACCUCUGAUAGAAAUAUAAACGAAUAUUAUGUAUAGUGUAUUUCAACUUCUAAUACUAGGAGUUGUGGUUCAAUCUUCGGACACCGACAACUUAUUAAAACUUUGAAAAGCAUCCGCUUAUUGAUGGUUCAUAUUGAGAGGUAUCAUCUUUAAUGCAUAAUAUUUGUUUGAGUGAAUGACCAUAAAGUAUGGUACCAACAUUUAAACUAAGGGUGAUUGUUAGUAGUUUAUAAUUUUGGCAGUAAAAAUAUUUUAUUAUGUAGAAAAGUCUAAUAAAUUAUAAUUAUUGGUCAAAUAGUUGUGUUGUAAAGACAAUUUUUGUAUGUAAAGUUGUCUUAUAAACUUUAUGUAAAGUUGUGUUGUAAAACAACAAAAUUAUAUGAAAAUGUAUCUUAUUAAAAGAUACAUCCAUAUGAAAGGGUAUCUCAUGAAAAGAUACACCUAUUAGAUGUCUAUAUAAAAGAUUUUUCUGUUAGUUAUUUAAAUUGUUUUGCUUGGAGUGUUGAGGGCUUUGUUGUAUCUUGAAGGUAUUUUAAAAUCUUAAAGAAAGUGCUCUACACACCUUAAAGUCAUUAUAUUUUAUAACAUUAUUUUAUUUUUCUAACUUUUAUUUUCCUAUUAUUUAUUUUUCUAACAGCUAGAAUAUAGGAAAAUUAUUAUGUUUCUAGCUAUAUAUUGAAUACAAGUAUGUUGGUGUUUAGAACUCGAACUUUGAUGGUUGAUCGAGAGAUUUGAAGCAGAAAGAAGAGACGGGAAGUUUUAAGUAGAAAAAUAAUUGAAGACUGGAAUAUAUAAUUGAUUUGCACCUCAACUAUUUAAAUACAAAAGUUCAAGCUAAAAAUAGAAAAAAAAAGUUCUAAAAAUCUGCUAAAAAUCUGGUAACAAAAUAGCAAACAAAUCAAAAAUCUAAUCUCCUAAAGUCAAGGAGAAUUAUUCAAACUUAGUAACAGAAAAAAUUUAAAUGGCAGCAAUCUUAAACACAUGAUCUUAACACUCCUCCUUGUUUAGAUGCUACAAACUCCAAGUUUCUUCCUGAAGCUUUCAAACUUGCUAAGUGGCAAUGGUUUGGUGAAGAUAUCUGCAAUUUGAUCUUCAGAUUUGUAGUAACAAAGAGACACAUCACCACUCUUUUAAACUUCUCGAACAAAAAAUAACUUGAUGUUAAAAUGCUUAGUCUUCCCAUGAAAGACUGGAUUGUUAGAGAUUGCAAUGGCAGCCUGGUUAUCAACUAGAAUCUUUGUGCUUUGCUUCUACUCCAUGUUUAGAUCAACAAGAAUCUUCCUUAACCAGAGAGCUUGGUUAACUGUUGCUGUUGCAGCCAUAAAUUCUGCCUCAACAGUGGAUUGAGCUACAGUUUCUUGCUUCUUCGAGCUCCAAGAGAACAUGCCUGAUCCAAGGCAAAAACAAUAACCAGAGGUACUCUUCAUAUCAUCAGUUAAGCCACCCCAAUCACUGUUAGAGAAACCAAUCAACUUCAAUUCCCUAUGCUUUAAAAACUUUACUCCAUAAUUCCAGGUCCCCUUGAUGUAUCUGAUAACUCUUUUUGCAGCUCUCAUGUGAGUCUCAUUGGGACAAUGCAUGAAUCUGGAGAGAAUACUUACAGCAUUCAAGAUGUCGAGUCUGGUUGUUGUUAAGUACAUUAGACAACCUACCAAACUCCUGAACUCAGCUUCAAUGACUUUGGCAGAACCAUCAUCUUUGAUUAGCUUCUCUUUUUGAUUCAUAGGAGUACUCAUUGCUUUGCAAUCUUCCAUAUGGAAUUUUCUAAGUAUCUCCUUUGCAUACUUUCUUUGACAGAUGAACACUUCAUCUUGGCUUUAUUUGAUCUCAAUGCCAAGGAAAUAAGACAUCAGAUCAAGGUCUGUCAUUUCGAAGACAUUAUGCAUUUCCAAUUUAAACUGAUUAACUUGAUCGAUAUUGCUCCUUGUAAUCAAUAAGUACAAAUAAGCAAGCUUUUUCCUUUGAUUUCCUUAUCUUCUUUUCUUUUUGUGCUUUAAUCUGUGCCACAGUAGGAUUUGCUGGAAGAGGUGGGACCUCGUAAUCCUCUUCUACAGGUUCCCAAAGAUCCAAAGCCUCUAUGUAAGUCUCCAUGCGAACUGCCUACAUCUGGUAAUUGUCUCCAUCGAAGACUGGUGGUGCAGCAACUGAAAAACUGGACCCUCCUUCCAUAUUAACACGCAAAUAACCUAACAAAUCCCUCAAGAAAAUAGCUCUGAUACCAAUUUGUUGGUGUUUAGAACUCGAACUUUGAUGGUUGAUCGAGAGAUUUGAAGCAGAAAGAAGAGACGGGAAGUUUUAAGUAGAAAAAUAAUUGAAGACUGGAAUAUAUAAUUGAUUUGCACCUCAACUAUUUAAAUACAAAAGUUCAAGCUAAAAAUAGAAAAAAAAUGUUUUAAAAAUCUGCUAAAAAUCUGGUAACAAAAUAGCAAACAAAUAAAAAAUCUAAUCUCCUAAAAUCAAGAAGAAUUAUUCAAACUUAGUAACAGAAAAAAUUUAAAUGGCAGCAAUCUUAAACCCAUGAUCUUAACAAAGUACUACUUGGAAGCCAACACCCACAAACAUGAUAAAAGUUAAUUUUGAUGAGAGUUUUGACAUGGAAGCAAGAAAUGAGGAAGAGGGUAGUUAUGCAGCAUUGUGAUGAUUUUUUAGUCUGACUAUGCAACCAUCCAAUUUAGGGUGCAUUCUCCAUUGUGGUGAAAAAGCACUUAAAGAACAUUUGGUUUUUGCACUUAAAAUGUGAUGGAAAAAUGUUUUUCCACCCAAAUACAAAAACUAGGAUAUAAAUGUUUUUGACUUUUAGCUUUUAUGUUUGGAAGUGAAAAUUAUCAAAAUAUCAUUAUUUAUAUUAACUAUUUAAAUGGUAUAUAAAAAUUAGAUUAAUUUAUAUUUUAUAUAUCAUUAUAUUAAAUUAUUUAAAUAUUAUUUAUUAUUAUAUAUUUUAAUAAUUUAUAUAUCAUCUAUUUUACAAAUAAUUUAUAUUAAUUACUUAAAAAAUAUUUGGAACUUAUAUUUCAUGUAUCAUUAUAUUAAAUUAUUUAAAUAUCACAUAAUUUAACUAAUUUUUUACUUUCCACUAUCAUGUCUAAAGAAAAGGAUAUUUUAACUUUUAACAAGAAUUUUUUGUAGCAAUGGAGAACACCAAAAAUUAAUAAACACACUUUUUCAUAGUAAUUUUCAACCACACUUUUCAACCGCAACCCUAAUGAAGAAUUAAUCCUUACUAAAGUUACCGAAGCACUAGCUUCCACCGUAGCCAUUGAAAUGGCGCUCCAAUUGGGAUUGCAACACAUUAUUAUUAAAGGAGAUGCUCUCCAAGUGGUUUCGGAGUUGAAGGAAGACAAAGGAGACCUACCAACAACCGGACCUUGAUAGCAAAGAGUUGAAUACUUGCUAAACAGGUUCAGCAAUGUAGGUUUCAACACAGGAAGAGGCAUGCUAAUGAGGUGGCACAUCAUCUGACCAAACAGGGCCUUAAUUGUUUUCCAUCUUUUGUUCAUAUGUUUGUUUUGAAAAGGUAAAACAAAUCCUCACCUAUUGAUGUUAGAACGGUUGAAUUGCUAAAAGCAUGCUGCAUGCAUAACCAUGCUUUAGGUUAGGCUUCAAAUUAAAUAAAUUUUAAAUUAUUUUUAUUUAAAUUUAAUUAUAAAAAUAAAUUAAUAUCAAUAGAAAAUUAUAUAAAAUUUUAAGAUAUUUUAUUUUUCAAUAAUAAAACGAAUCAUUCACCAAACCUAAUUCUUCAAUUUCUUUUUAAUUAGAUCACAACUCAAGCCAAGCUAACCAAUAAACACCCAAAAUCUACCAUCAUUUUCAUUUUCAUUUUUUUUUCUUUUGUGACAAAGUAGACAGAAGAUUCGGUUUGGAUAAGCUCUACGUUAUUAAGUCAAAAGCUGAAGUAAUUUUAAUCAUAAAUUGUUUUAUUUGUCUAUAAUGCAAAACAAUGACCCAGUUAGUACAAUAAAGCUUUAACUUUGUGGAACAUUUCAGUCCAAAAAAAAAAAAAAAAAGAAUUGUGGAAAUUUUAGAGCAGUUGACCAUUUCUUCGGAAUUAGUUUUCUCACUUCUUGUCCAUAUUCCAUGUAUAUUAUUUCAAGAAAUUAGGUUUAGAAAUUUGCAUAAUUCAACCAUUGAACUAAUAAAUAUUAAACAAAAAUUGGGUGGCAAAAAAAAUCUUAUUAAAAUCAUAUACUAUUACUAAAAUUUAUGAUUAAAUUAGUGUCACGAGUUAACGGGACAUUAACAAAUUAUAUUAUUUGAGGGUAUUUUAAUCUUUUUAUUAAAAAAGAUGAUGUCUCAAAUUAACUCACAAUCUAAUCUAAUUUUUCAUUUUAAUAUUGUAAAUAUUUCAUGUUUUAUUAUUAAUUUGUUUCAAAUUAUACAUUUCAUUAUUUAUUUUAUGUUAUUUUUAAACACAUCUGUAUUCUAAGUACCUAAUUUUCACUUAUGGGUAUCAGAGGCGAAUCUAGGGAGGCUGAUAGGGGUCUCGGUCCCCUUAAAAUAGAAAAUUAUUAUUUAAGCCAUUUAGAAAAUUUUAAAAUUUUAAAUUAGUAAAUGUAAAAUUACACUUUGACCCCUCUAAAAUUAUAAAAAUUUGAUUUAAUCCUUUAAAAAUUAUAAAGAUAUAAACUAUUAAAAAUAAAAAUUUCAUUUCGGCCCUGCCUAAAAAAUUUUUUUGACUUCACCCCUAAAGUAUGAUAGAGUUUCUAGUAUGAAUAAUUUUCUUUGGAAGUGUUAAACAAACAAAGGAGUUAAGUAAACAGUAGUUUUCAUACAGAAAUAUUCGGCGUUGAUGUUUCCCUUUCGAAUAAUUAAAUUAAGACUUAGGAAAAGGGAAAACAAUGAAAAAGAAACUAAAAUUGAGCUUAAUUUAUGGAGUUGGGUUAAAAUUUUAAUAUUUAAAUAUAAAAAUUCUAAUAAUUUGAUCUGGUCCGUUUCAUCUAGCAGACUAAUAAUAAAUCUUAAAACAUAUUAUAUUUUAAUUUAAAUAAAACCAAAACUAAUACACUUGACCUACAUCUACAUGUGAUCUAUGCUUCAUUUAAAUUAGUCUAAAUUAGACGAGAUCUUGAUUAGGAGUCAUUUAUUUAUAUUAUAAGUCCCUGAAACAUGCAAAACUUACAUUUAAAAAUUAAUAUUUUUACGUUGUUGUUAGAAUAUAGGGUUUGUUAAUGUUUUCGUGUGAAGUCAGCUGUUGACAUUACCAAUCAGAUAAUGAAAAGGAAACAUGGCAAUUAUUCCAUCCUAAUUGUCACCAAAUUAAGUUAAUCCAAAAAUUACCAAACGUUUAGUACUUCAAUGGUAGAGUCAGCUCUUUCUUCUAGUCUAUCAAAAAAAGUCAAUUUAACCCCUAACUCUUGGAUGGAAAAGUUUUUGCUAUGAACUUGUUGAAGUGAAUCUCAUGUGAUAUAAACGCAUCGCAAUCUCCGUGUGUAACUAAAAAUAUUUGAGAGAUUGAAUAAUUUAAAGGGGAAAAAAAAAGAAUUUACUCCCUCCACUAACAAAUUACUCUUGCCAACGUAUGUAUGAAAGUAAACACCUUUAAUUAAUCAACAAAUGCUAAAGUUCGAGGUUUAGAAUUAAUUAAAUACCAAUAUAAAUAGUUAAUUACUUUUUUGAAAUAAGGAUAAAUCAGUUUGUGAGGUUUGAAUUUUUUGUAUCUUAACAAUUGUUCUGACUUUAGAGUUUGAAGGUUUUUUUUUUAUCCAAAUUAACCUAUGAACUUAGUAAUUUGUCUCUCAUUAAGGUUUAAAUUUUUUAUUUAUCUAAGUUAAUUCUUAAAAAUCUUGAAAUUCGAGAAUAAUUGUCAAGUUAAAAAAAUUUAGAUUUCAAUAUGAGAAUAAUCUACUAGUUCGUAACCUUAAUAUAAAAACAAUUGUUAAGUUGAAAACUUAAUUUAAAAACAAAUUCAAACCCUUCUUAAGUUUACGAUUUAACCCUUUGAAAUAUUGCGUUAACUAGUAAGAGUAAGAAUUAUUUUGUGUUGAUGAUUAAAUAAAUAUUUAAGUGGAGAUCAAGUUUUACCUCAUUUGUCAAUUGUCAGGUGAAGAAUAUAUACCCCUAAAGGCCUAUCAAAAACGGACCUAUCUCUAUCUAUAUAUCUUAACUAAUUUACUAUUCAUUUUUAAUGAAAAUCAAUAAAUCAAUGAAAACGUUAUAAAAAGAAAACUACGUGAAUAAAUUAUAUGUGUAAAAUUGAAAUAUUUCUUAUUUUAGUACAAUGGUAAGGAACAUUACAUUUUUAAGGAAAUGAUGUCAGGUUCAAACCUUAAAGAUAAUAUUCUUCUUCUUGAGAAGAACAAUCCCAAACUCCAAAAUGAACCCUUAUGAAUUAUAUAAAAAAAUUUUGAAAUAUUUCUAUAAAAUAUCAUUAAAGUUUUUUAUUUAAAAAAUGUUAUGGGUAUACUUUUACCUCUUGUAAAAAAGUCUUUCAUUUCUCAAUUCUUAUGGCAUAGUAAAUUUAUCAUUAAUUUUCAUCUUUAGGUAAAAAAAAUGGUUAUUAUUUGUGUAUUAAAUAAUUGUUAGGAUAAAUUUUAAAAUUGUAUAUGAAUUUUGGUUUAAUGUUAAUUAUAUACAUUAAUUUUAAUUUUAUGUAAUUUUAUAAAUGAAAUUUUAAUUUGAUCCAAUUCUAACAAAUUAUUAACACAGUUAUUGAUAUAACAUCAUUUUAUGUUUAUAUGCUAUAUACAGAAAUAAUUAUGUUUAUUCAAUAUAAAAAUAAAUUGAUGUAUUUAUUUCUUUAAACAUAUAUGAUUGAAUCAAAAUUAAAACAUCGUGUAUAUAUUUGAACCACAAUUAAAAUUUUACAUAUAAAAUUACAUAAAAUUACAAUUUAUAUACGUAAUAAACUAAAAUUCAUAUAUAAUUUUAAGAUUUAUGUCCACAAUUCUCUAAAGCUAAACGGUGAUGAUUACCAUGGAAAUUCAAUGUACUUAACUAAUUGGUUGAUAGGAACAGGCAUGAUGAAAUCCAUGAUGGGAAGAGAGAGAAUUCAAAAACUGGAAUGCCCCCAUUAAUCCAUGCAAAUAAACUUUUUCGGUAUUACAUCAUAAUUCAUUUAAUUUUAUCAUCAUCUCUAUGCCAUAACCAUGUUUAAAGUAAAAUACUUAUAUAAAUUGAGACAUUAAUAGUUUGUAUUAUAUAAAUUAUGACAUCCAUAUAUCCAUAUUAUAAUUUUUAUGAAAAAUUAGAGCUGGCAGAUAAAAAAUGGCUUACUGAUCAAUGAAAAAUAAACUUUAUUUCUUGUAAAUUGACUUAUCCUUUUAAAAAGUAUAAAUAUUUUUUUAAAAUUCAUUUAUGAGUAAUUUUAUUAUUAUAAAAAUUAAUUUUGCAAAGUCUAAUAUUAUUAUAUUAAUAAUUUUAUUUUAAAACUAUUUAAAAAUACUAAUAUCAAAUAUUAUAAUGUUGAAUCCUAGUAACAUACAUAUUAAAUUAUUUAAAUUAUGUAAUAUUGCAAUUUUAUUUUAAUACUAAAUUUUAACAACAAUAAUUUUAAAUUUUAGAUCAUAUUUUUAAUAUAUUAUUGAAAAAUAUUUAUAUUAAUAUUUUAAUAAUAAAUAUAUAUAUUAAAAUUUAUAAAUAUUUAAUAAUAAAUGUUUUAUAGUAUAAAAUAUGAAUAUUUUAAUUAUAUAGAUAUGAGCAUUUGUUUAAAUCAUGUUUAGUUUCAUUUAUCUCCCAACUAUAAUGUGUUAUUAUACACCGUCAUAUAUAUAAUAUAUGUAAUUUAAGCAUUGUUUAUUAUUAAAUUUAUAUAUGAUAUUAAUUAUUAUAAAAUAUUAUCUUAUUAUAAAAGAAAUUCUAAUUAUCAAAAAGAAAUGUUACUUUAAUAUUUUGUAACAAGUAUAUUUAUGUUGGGCUUGUUUCAAUAAUAACUUUAAAAUGAUUUUAGAAAAAAAAUUGUCAAAUAAUAAAAAAAUAUUUUAAGCAAAAUAAUUCAAACACAAAAAACUAUCAACUUUUCCAUAAAAUCAAUCCAAUUUUAAGAAAACAUUUUGUGAAAAUUGUUUUAGGUAAAACAAAAGGAACCUAUAUUUUAUAUAGUAUUUGAAAAGUUGUUGUAUCUAGAAUUAUUAUCUUAAAUAUUUUUUUAGGUCUAAUUUUAAAUUUCAUCCCUUUAUGAAAAUUGAGAAGUUAAAUUUUCUAUUUUACUUUAUCAGUCUGUGCUUGAUUGUUUAUUAAUUUGUCGUGUAUAAAUGGUUAAAUUAUUGAUUUUUGUUAAUUACUAGCAUGUAAAUUGUCAAACUACUUGUUCUCAAGGGAACGGUAAAGUUUAAUAGUAUUAUCAAUUUAGAACAAUUUUUGAGUUUUUUCUUUUAUUUUUCAUGUUCGAGUCCAUAAUUACUCCUUCUAAUAAUGUCGUCUUUAAAGUUUGAGUUCGAAUUCAAAUUCUCUUUUUGGAAGUACAAUAUGCCUUAUAAUUAUACCUAAUACUUUUGAUUUUUGUAAAAUAUAAGAAUCAAAAUUGUGUAGUAGGAUUAAUUUCUAGAUUUUUUAAAUUUAAAAUUUAUAAUAUUAUCAAUCGCAUCACACACAAAACCAAAGAACAAGAGAAUCUAAAAAACACGUGGACCAUUAAUUUAGGAAUGGACAUUAUAUUUUAUUAGUGGAAUAAACUCAUGCAAAAUGGUUGGAAAACACAUACAGGAUUAUAUAUACUAAUCAUUUUUAUUAUUAAGCAGAAUCGGAAAUAAAUAAAUACGAGCGAAACCACUGAAUAAUACAGCAUUGAAAUGCAAUUUGUCUACAUCAUUAUUGUUCUUCACUUCAAACGCGGAGACUAGUCUAGGCUCCCAAUCUUUUGCUUUAUCUCUCUAGAUAUAUCCUUUUCAAACUAUCUUUUUGUAGCUUUAUUUGCAUCACAGCAUUAUCUUUUCCUGCAAACAACUGUUCAAUGAUUAAAACAUGCAAAACAUUCUGAAAUAAUGCACCCUUACCAGAUGACAAAAAAAAAAAAAGAUUCUAAUGUAUCUUACCUUGGAUUGGAGCACGGUCAAAGCCGUGGCUUAGUAGUGGUGAGGAGGAGGGGGUGAAGCGUAGACAUAAUGGGGUGGUGGUGGUGGAGGAGACUUGUAUUUGUAAACUGGAGGAGGAGGUGGUGGAGACUUGUACUUGUAAGGGUGCUUGGGGGGUGAUGGUGGGGGUGGUGGGGGUGACUUGUACUUGUAGGGGUGCUUGGGUGGUGACGGUGGGGGUGGGGACUUGUACUUGUAAGGAUGCUUGGGGGGUGAUGGUGGUGGUGGUGGAGGUGACUUGUACUUGUAGGGGUGCUUGGGUGGUGACGGUGGGGGUGGGGACUUGUACUUGUAAGGGUGCUUGGGUGGUGACGGUGGUGGUGGUGGGGGGGACUUGUACUUGUAGGGAUGCUUUGGUGGGGAUGGUGGUGGUGGUGGUGGGGACUUGUACUUGUAGGGAUGCUUAGGUGGUGAUGGUGGUGGUGGUGGAGACUUGUAUUUGUAAGGAUGCUUUGGUGGUGAUGGUGGUGGAGGUGGUGGGGACUUGUACUUGUAAGGGUGCUUGGGUGGUGAUGGAGGUGGAGGUGGUGGAGACUUAUACUUGUAAACUGGAGGUGGUGGGGGUGGAGACUUGUACUUGUAAGGGUGCUUGGGUGGUGACGGAGGUGGAGGUGGUGGAGACUUAUACUUGUAAACUGGAGGUGGUGGGGGUGGAGACUUGUACUUGUAAGGGUGCUUGGGUGGUGAUGGUGGGGGUGGGGGUGGCGACUUGUACUUGUAGGGGUGUUUAGGUGGUGAUGGUGGUGGUGGUGGUGGUGGUGGGGACUUGUACUUGUAAGGAUGCUUGGGUGGUGAUGGUGGUGGAGGAGACUUGUACUUGUAAGGAUGCUUGGGUGGUGAUGGUGGUGGAGGUGGUGGAGACUUAUACUUGUAAACAGGAGUUGGUGGGGGAGGAGAUUUGUACUUGUAAGGUUUCUUGUGUGGUGGUGGUGGUGGAGGAGAGUAGAUCGGAGGAGGCGGUGGGGGAGACUUGUAAUGGUAGGGUGGUAGUGGGUUCUUCUUAG